UGUUUCAAAGUCAUAACUUUAAAGAAGAAGUAUUCUUUUCAUUUCCAAAAUUAAUAUAUCAUAUAUAUUUUAAAUUUUAGGAACAUGAUUAACUCCCACUAAUCUUUUGUAAACCUAGUAAACAAAAGAUUCAUUUACAUCUUUAUGAGAAAUCAAACAAUUUGAACUUUCUCUCAUAAGAUGCAUAUAGCUCCCACUAGCUUGCUAAGAUUCAUGAUGGUUGGAUCUCUACAACUUAUAUGUCUUGUGAUUCAUAGUUUUAGACAUAUAUAUUAUCAAGACUAUCUUAAUAAUGGUUUCGGAAACCCAUAUAAUGUCCAAACAUUGAAUCACCAUUUAGUUGUAGCUAGCUAUCUUCGAAUUAAUUGAAACCAAGACUACGUCAAAAAUGGUUUCUUCAAAGUCAACCAUCCUUUUGAUUGUAGUUACCUUAAGCUACCAAUUAGCUUAUGAAGGUUUCAUUAUUUCGGGUCAAAUGGUACUUUACCAUUUCCUUGAGUAUAUAUCGUAUAUACACUCAAUGUAGUCAUAAGGAUUUUCAUUCUUAUUUCUUUCAAAUUAAGAGGUGUAACUCUAUGACAUAGUCAUAAAGUUCAAACCAUUCAACUUUGACGGUUUAUAAAUCCUUCUCGACUACCUUGGAGCUUGUGGUAUAGGAACUAGGUUGUUAUAUUUGUUGAUUACUUUCUUGUCUCUCAAAGAACCCAUUCUUUGAGUUCUAUCUCUCGUUCAUUUGCUUUUAGGCAAAUCACAUUUUAGGAUUACAAUGAACUACCCAACAAAACAACAUUUGUUAGUUGGUUUAUAGAAGCGAUAUCCAAAAGUUAAUUUAAGGAUAUCCCACAAGAUUGUUAUCAAACAAAUAUUGCUUAUUAGCACACAACCCCAAAUCUUAACAUGCUUGAGAUUUGUCUUUCUUUCCAACUACAUCUUAUGGAGUCAUGAAAAAUUUGGAAGAUCUUCUAAUUGACAAUCAUAUUGUUUUAGAAGUAUAUAUCCUAUAUACGGGCAAUAGAUAACAUCCAACGAACUAAAUCUUAUUUAAGUUCGUUCUUCUCAUUAUGUAGAAAUCUAUUAUCUUAUGAUGCUUAUUUCCUUGAUAUCUUUCAAGGAAACUGUUCUAAAGUGUUACCUUAUCUUGGAUCGAAUCUAAGGAGGUAAAUACUUUAGACGUCUUACUCAUCAACUUACAUACUUGAAUUCUUUGAAAACUUUUGCAAAGUAUUCGGACUUGUGUUUAUUCAAAAUAAACUAUAGUCCAACCGAGAGUGAUCUUCGGUGAAUGUCAUACAACAUGAGUAGUAUUAUGUUUGUGGACAAGUGCCACUAACAUCUAAGUGAAUUAACCUCAACAACUUUGUGAUUCUUUCUUCUUUCCAAAAGAAUAAAGAUUCGAACAUUUCGCCUCUAUACAAUUUUAACAAGAAGGUAUUGGAUCCGGAUCUAACGAUCCAAAGCAUCCAUCUAUGACCAACUCGUAAUUUAUGUUUUAGAGGUAUCACAACUUUAGUUGGGAUUAGUCACUACCUUGCAACCUUUUGGGUUUUAAGCAUCAUUAUAUUCUAAACAGUUAACACUACCAUAUCAUCUCUACUAUAGAGACACAAUCAAUUAGAUUACUAUAAUCUAAUCAUUGAUUAAUAAAGAACAAUGUUUUGUCAAACAAAACAUUCAUCCAUCUCUACUAUAGUGACGGAAUAAGUUCCUUAAAAUUGGAAUGUAAAGACAAUCUUUGGUUUUUCCAAUUUCUUUGGUAGUUCAUAUGAGGAAGUAAGUACUAUCUGCUUUCGCAGAGAUCUAUAUUUUAUUCACGUUCCGAAUGUGAAGCACCUUUUCUUCUCUCAUAUAUCUUUUACUUCUUAUUAGUCACACUUUUACAACGAUUGUAAAACAUAGUUACUAAUACGGAAUCAAGCAUUCAAGUAGAAGAACCAACUGUUUUGAACUAUUCAAGAACAAUUUACAACACCUUCGAAAGGUGUGUUCUUGACACUUGCAAGACAUUUCUUGCAAAUACCCCUUCCAAUGUCCAUCCUUUCAUAAAGAAAGUUUGUUCCCUUGGAGUUAAUUUCGCUUUCUUCAUUAUUUGACUUUCACCUUUGACUACAUUAGUCAUGGUCCCUAAACUCCCACUAUCUCUCUUGAAACUUAUUUCAAUUGUGUUAUACACAUCAAACAUUUUGGAGAGCAUGUGUUUAUUGUUCACUAUAUAGUUUACAAUAAACUUAGUGAACCAUUAGGAUAGGGACACAAAGGUGAAGUCCUUGCCUAGUUUCCGUCUCGUUAAGUGGUUUAUCACUUCAACACUCAAUGAUUCAAAAUCAUCAUAAGUCCAUGUUGAUGGACUAUUUUUGUCAACCAACCAUUAUGUUCUAAACAUAAUUACAAACUUUCAAGAGUUGUACAAGGCAACUCUCAUUUCUUCAUACAACAAUUUGUAAGUGAAGAAUCAUGGCACACUAAGUGUCCAUGCCUUUGUGCUUUCUUCUCAAGUUCCUUGUUCAUGUAACAAAGAAACAAGCACUAAUGUUUGCAUUGAUUAAGGGUUGUUCAAAGCAACUCUUAUUUCUUCAUACAACAAAUUGUAAUUGAAGAAUUAUGACAUUAAAAGUGUUGUCCUCUUUAUGAUAGACUUUAUCUAACAUGUUCUUCCAAUGAUACAUUAUCAAUAGGAAGAUUGUGAGGAUGAGACUACUUAGGUACUUCUACAAUCCAUUUAAGACAAUCUUUGGGAUUGUUGUACCAAGUCCGGAAACUAAAGCAUUCGGCUUUUAUUUGUCAAGUGUUGGGAUAGCGUUUGCAAAUAUAAUGGUAAGUAAAUACAUAACGAAUAUAAAUUGAUUGAUUUUAAGCCAUUUGAUUCGGGUCUUUAAAUCAAAUAGCACCACCCACUAUUUUUGGCAAAUUCCAUAUCCCUCAUUGGAAUUCGAGAGUUUUGGAUGAAACUCUUAGUAGGGUAUGGGAGACUCACUACUACCAAGCCCACCUCACAAUGAUAUGAUAUGUUGGCUAGCAUUAAUAAUAAUGAGAGAGUACGCUUACUCAUUUGCAUCACUUGCAAGUACCCAUCUUAUUUGGCCUCUAGAGAAUGUCACCUCACAAUGAUAUGAUGUUGGCUCCAUUGCACUUAGUUAAGUCAUUCCCACCAUGCUUAGUUCGUGAAGGGGUUCAAGAAUAGCCUCACGAUGAUACGAUGUCGGCCAUCCUCGUUGCCUAUACUCACCUCAUCAAGUAUGUAUAUAGACUCCUCCUGAGUAUAAGCAUGCACUUUGCACUCCCCCAUGAUAGGGUGAAGGCCGGUGUACAAGUCAUAAACGAUUGGAGCCUACCACGGUGGAAGGCCACGAAAGAGUGUUCAAAGCACUCUCACGCUUAUCAACUUAAUAAUGGUUUGGUUGAGGGUUUUAGGUCUCAUCACAUAUAAAUAUUCAUUUUAAUCUCUAUUAAAACAAUUUUGGUCCUAUUACAACUAUUGGUCCAUUUGAUUGUUUUAGUUGUAUAUAAUACUCCCACUAUGCUUAUAAAACGGUUUUUAAAGCAAGAGUAUAUGAUACUACUAACAAAAGGUUUGCAUUCAUUUGAUGGACUAUAUAGUUGCCUUAGGGCCUUAGGAUGAUUAUGAACCUUUGUUUAGAUUCAACACGAGCCUAGUGUUGAAUCUCGGUCUAGGGAUGGUGAUUGAUUUUAGUUACGCGUUUAAUCACAUUAAGGCGUGUUGUCUUAGGGGCGUUGGACCCAACUACUUCAUUUUCAUGCAUAUCAAAUAAAGCAAGAAAGAAGUACUUCAAAGUAAAGGUGAGCUUAUGCUCAUUACAACAUUUGCAUAAAUCAAAUUACCUUAAAGUAAAGAAGGGCUUAUGCCCUUUUACAACAUUUGAUCAAAUCAAAUUACAACCAAAAUCUAAUCUACACAUUCCCAUGGUUCAAACAAAUUUGAAACGGCCUUUCACAUAGCUCAAUUAUAUUAGGCUUAGGUUCAUAUUCACCCCUUAAUUAAUUAACACUUUAACUAAUUAAAUUGAAUGCAACAUUUUCAUUUGGUUUUUGUAUCCAUAAAAUUGAUUUAAAUGGAGCUAAAUGAAAUGAAAAUCCAAUUCUCAUUUAAAGAGACAAAACAAUUUUGUUCUCAACCUUAUUUGGGCCAUCAUGCAAUAACCACAACUUUUUGGGUUAUAAAGCAAUUAACCUCAACUUUUGGGCUAUAUUGCAAAACUUUUGGGGUCACUUUGUAAAAACACAAAAGUCCACUACUUCAUGUAAUUACAACUAGAACCCUAAAUUUUAAUAAUGCAAAAACUUCAUUAAAGGAGCAAAACAAUUUGUCCUUUAGCGUUUUUGGACCUAAACGUAAAAGCGUAAACUUUUGGGCCAAAGUGCAAAUACACAAAAGUAUCAAAACUUUAUGUAAUUGCAUAAAAGCCCCAAAAGUACCCUACAUGUAGGGUGGCCGGUUUUUGGAGAGGGAUGUGAGUGAUGUGUGUGUUUUUGAUUUGUGAGUUUUGACAUAAAGCAUGCAAGUGCAAGUGGUGUGUGUGAAAGGGAAUUAAAUCCUUUUCACACCCACCAUUAUUUCUAUCACCAUUUAAACAAAUAUCUAAAACAUUUAAACAUUUGAAAAACAUAAAACAUAAACUUUAUGAAAUAAAUCAAAACUUUGAAUCAAAACACAAAACUUUUUGUUCUUGGCAAAAAUGUCAAGAACAAUGAAGAACAUUCAUGAAAAACUCAAAAAUUUCCAUGAACAUUUUUCACCCAAAAACAUCUCAAAACCAUUCAAACUUUAGGGAAAUAACAUAUAACCAAACUAGGGUACUUAGGGGUUCCAAAAGUCACUUUAAAACACUUUUAACAAGUCAAACAAGAACCCAAAAAUCCACCCUUUGGAUUUGGCCGAAAAUUCCCAAAAGCAUGGCACCAAAUUUUAGCUCCAAUAUUCAUGCUCAUAUGAACUACAUCUACAACAUUUGAGAUGGCAAAUUUUCUAACAAAAUUUACAUUCAAAGAAACAAGAAUAAAGCUUGUAACAUAUUACAACUUUUAAAUCACAAACUAUGAACUACAAAACCCAAAAGGAUUCACCAACUACUAGACCUAGGCUCUGAUACCACUUGAAGGAUGAUUUUGUGAAAACAUGUUCAUUUGAAUAACAUCUAUAGCAUGCAUUUAACAAUUAAAAGGCGGAAUCAUGCUUGCAUGCACUUAAAAAACAAAACAUUACCCAUGAAAUUCAAAGCCUAGUAGAUUGGUGAACCAAGACUCAACUCAAAAUCAAAGUGAGUUGAGAAAUAUAUACCUUUGUAGAUUCCUCUUUGCAUAAGCAAAGGCUAAUCACCCAAAGAGAGGGCCUUCAUUCCUUGCAUCUUAAAAUCUAUGGAUUUGGAUGGAAGAAUAUGGUUCUCCAAGUUCCCAAAAUUGAGAACCUCUAAGUAUCCACACCAAGGUUAAGAUUUGAUGAAGAAAUGAGUGACCUUGGAGUAGUGGGAUUGCUAGAUACACCCUUCCAAGGGGGCCGGCCUUUUAGAGAGAAAGGAGAGCAUUGUGUUCUCUCCAAUUUCCUAAAAGAAAACCCUAAAUGAAUUUUGGCUAUAAGUCAUAUUUAUACCUUUAUUCAUUGGAGUGGCAAACUUGUAAUUAAAGUCCAAGUUCACUACCCUCCUCUAAAAUGGCCGGCCAUAGGGUUUUGUUUGGGCUUUUUGGGCCUUUGUGAAUUAAGUUGUCAUACAACUUAAGUCAAUGGGCUUGACGUUCGAAGCCCAUUGGGCCUUAAGGUCCAAAAACUAUCCCGAGGUCUUAUAACGAACUUAUUCGUUUGAUUAAUUAACAUAUUAAUUAAUCCUUGCCAUAAAUAAUUAAACCAUUUAAUUAUUCUUACUCAUCUCCAUUGUUUCUUCAAUCUCCACCUUACACGGUGUACGAUCCAUUAGGUUCCUUUUAGCGAGGCAGUGGGCGAUUAAAACUCUUUUAAAAUCGAUUGUGAAUUGAAACUUGCUUUCAAUUCUCCCUUUAGUGUUUAUACACGUUUAGGGCUUCCACAAACCAAGAGUGACACCUAGCAGCAUAUCAUGGUUACCCAAGCUAAUCAGAAGAGGUAGAGAACAUAUUCAGUUUAGGAUUACAAAUGCAAUACGGUCUUUCUCUAAUACAAUACUCUUGACCACAUUGUUUGGUUUGAUAGUUUAUUCAUGUCUACUAUCCAAUGUGAUUCGUGUGCUUAUAUGAUUACCUUGAAUGUGAUUUAGAACGACUUUUCUAAAUCUCAUUCAUACUCUGGCCAGAGAUUCUUAAUCAUAUCAUAGAGUAUUCUCCCCCAAACGGUUUGAAGGUUAGAGAUCCCUUGUUGCACAUUCACUUGCCUCCAUAGCUAAGUGGCUUAACCCCAACGAUGCCGUGGACACCCGCGGAUGGGGUGACUUUGACAUAAUCAAAGAUCAAGGACUUAACCACAAGACAAACGUGAUGCCUCAGGUCAAAAGACUACUUUGCAUUAUCCCAACCAUGAGUUCUCAUGUGACAUGAAUAUGAGAACUCUUCGUUGAUCGUGUUCAGUGAACUCAUUCUCUAUUGAGCACCUACGUACUUGUCUUGAUGUCACACACACCAAUGACUCGAGACUAGUCACUCUCCCUGAGAGAAUACACAGCACGUACUGAUCUUAACAGACUGUCAAUGCCCAAUUGGCAAUCCUAUGAUCAGGAACGUUUAGGAUGUGUCUACGAAAGAAUGGUCUCAUGAAUCUAACUUCUUUAGAUCGCAUUCUCCCAAUCACGUAUUCCUUGGACUUAUCGUUUAAGCAUAUAACAUUUAUAUGAGACGGCUUAAACAAUAAUAUUUGCCCUUGAUAUUAAACUAGAUUAGUUUAACAUGUGAAAUGUCCAUAAAGUAUCAUCAUAUGAUUGGUUUUAGGGCACAUUUCCAACACGUGGCAGAAGUGCUUAGGAUCCUUCCCUCAGUGGUUGCGAGAACGGCUUGUUCCUUGCUUGAUGUCAUUGACUUUGAGGUGUGUUUGGAUUCCUUGAACGGAGAAAGAGAUGAGAGGUAGAGAUUGUCCCACUAAGCGUGCCAAAUUUGUGAACACGAAAAUUUCCUGAAAGGAAAGAGACAAGAACAACGUGCGCAAAAUAAUAUUUGUAUUUGAUGAUUUUGGGUUACAAUCUCUCUCAACUUUGAUGCUCUGAUUCGAUCUCCGUAAGGUGUUGAUUUGUGGAUGUGCGAUUGAUCCAAAGGGCUGUUGGGCUUGAUCUAAGGAUGAACGUUCUUCAAGCGCCGUGGGCUUGAUCUUGAAAGUGGAUUUGAGCGGAUCUUCAAGGAGUCGCUAGGGCUUGAUCUUGAGGAUGAGCGUUUCUUCAAGGGCCGUUGAGGUUUGAUCUUGAAUAACGGUGAUGAACAGAUCUUCAAGGGGGCUUUUGGGCUUGAUCAUGAAGAACGAUGAACGAAGAACGAAGAGAGCUUUCUUGAUUCUUCGGGAUGAACGGAUGAUGAACGAUGAACACUUUAUUCAACGGCCGUCGGGGCUUGAUCUUGAAUUGGUGGAAGUUCUUCAAGGGCCUAUGGGGCUUAAUCUUGAAGGUGGAUGAUUGUUGAUCCAAGGGCCGUCGGGGCUUGAUCUUGGAAGAACAAUGAACGAAGAACGAAGAAGGCUUUUUUGAUUCUUCGGGAUGAACGGAUGAUGAACGAUGAACACUUUCUUCAAGGGCCGUCGGGGCUUGAUCUUGAAUUGGUGGAAGUUCUUCAAGGGCCUUUGGGGCUUGAUCUUAAAUUGAUGGAAGUUCUUCAAAGGGGCCAUCGGGGCUUGAUCUUGAAGGUGGAUGAUUGUUGAUCCAAGGGCCGUUGGGGCUUGAUCUUGGAAAACGAUGAACGAUGAACGAAGAACGAAGAAGGCUUUCUUGAUUCUUCGGGAACCUGGAUGCUUGAGAGUUUCGGAGUUUCAGAGCUUCAGAGCUUCAAGGUGUAAUAUGAAUUGAUUAAAAAAAAUGAAUGAAAUUGGCUUCUAUUUAUAGAAUUUUCCAAGGCCUAAUUUUGAAUAUAAUAUUCCAGAUGAAAUAAGUCGUUUCUGCCAGGUGUUGACACAUGUCCUGUUUGAUGACUUUUCCGAUGAUUCUUGAUUUUUUGUUUAGACACACGCUACGUGUAAAAUUUAUGUAAUACAUGAGCGUUGAAACUUUGAUUUAUCGGUCAAUAUUUAUUUACUGAAAUUUCGAUGUCUACAGGCUUAAAAGGCCUAGUGUUGACUAGAACAAUGGAGAAGAACGCCGUAGACUUCCCAGCUCCGGCCGACUGCAAACCACGACCCUAGACUCUGAUCUAGGUAUUGAAAUGAAGCACAAGAUGAGAGGAGUGUGUUUAUACCUUCCUUUUGCCGUAGAAAGGUCGGAGACGACCGGAAAAUCCCUCAACUCACACGGGUUCGCCGGAGAUGGGUGAGCUCUCAUCUGAGUCGAUUUUGUUCUAAAAACCUUAGAAAAAUAACGAGAUAACAUUCAAAAUCACAUCCAAGUUUCAAUCUAGAAUAGGUAGAGGGAGAUCCGAGGUUUAUCUAAAUGGAAAAAUUGAAGAAAUCUCUCCGGAGAGCUCUGAGGUUUCCUCGAGUUGUGCAGCGACAUGAGAGAGAGAAAAGACGAGGUUUGAUGAUGAUGAUGGUUGUCUUCCUCGUGCAGGUAAGCAGUUGGGUGUGCGUGCGUGCGUGCGUGUGUUUGUGUGUGUGUGUGUGUGUGUGUGUGUGUGUGCCUGUGUAUGUCUCAAUGAAAGAGGGAGAGAAAGCAUAGACAGAAAGAAGAAGAAUAAAAAGAAGAAGUCACAGGGGUAGGGGAGAGAGAGAAAUGUGAGGUUUGUUAGGGUGCUGCCACGUGGCAGUUUGAGGGAGUUUAGGAAUCUAGAUAAAGGGUCCAGAUUUAGUCAAGUUAGGGGACCAAAAUGAAAUUUUCAAUAAAACUUUGGGAAAUUAUAAAAUUACAUAUAAAUUCGGGGGUGGGGUUUAACAAUCUACCCCCCUUAAAAGAAUUUCGUCCUCGAAAUUUAAAAUCACUUACUAAACUGAAAUACUCAAAAAUAGGAAGAAGAAUAUAUGUAUACGUAUAAAGAGAAAUCAAGUCAGACUAGGUGCAUCAAAGAGAAUAUGCCACACCGUCGCGAACGGGUUGCAAAAUCCUCUAUCAUGCCUCCAAGCUCUUACUUUCUUCCCCAUCAAUGUAAAAGUAGAAACAUACUUAUAAAGAUAUAAAGUCGAAAACAUAUAUUGACGUAGGGUCAAAAGUACGUACGCAAAAUACGAUAGCAUCAAAAUAAAUACGUACUAACAUAUAGGUUGAAACCUCGUGCUUAACUUAAAACUGAAAACAGAAAUACUUUCCCCCAAAACAUUUGUAACGUCUAAAACAAAUAUAUAACUAUAAUAAGAAAAUUUACAAUAUUUAAACUGAAAAUCGAAAAUCGAAAAUGGAAGUGGGUCUCGCCCAAGAAUUCGUAUCCUCAAGUACUCUGAGAACAAACGUGUUUUUGGGUUGAGCCCCAACAAUAACAAAUUUGUAACCACUGCUGAAGAUGGGUCUUCCUGCCUAAUUGCUUAACGAACCCAACGAAUAAGCUAUUGAUAUCACAGUCUGCAGCCCGCGAUAUCGACAACACAUUGUUGUCUCAAUAAGCAAGCAAUAAUUUUCUGAGGGUGAACAAUUUCACAUGUCGUAAAUUCGAUCCUCCAAAUACAAGCUAGCACAAAACUCCUUUAUCAACCAGUGUUGCAUGUAGCAACUUUUGUACCAUGUCGCAACUAGUGCCAUAGUUGGUGGGAAGAAGAACGACUCGCAAAUGAUCAACCUAAAAACAAAAGAGAGCACACACCUUUUGAGAGAGGUGUAAAGAUUAUCCAAUUCUCGCCUUAACCGUGCUGUAGUGCCAUCCCAGAGUGCACCAAACAGAUCCGCUAGAAGUGUUUCAACAUUCACAUACUCACAAACAAAAAGUCCUGGAAUGAAGCUGUGAAAAUAUGCGUUGAGACGAACACAUAACGUCGGAAAAGAACCGAUGAUGCCUAUGAAUUAUAGUAAGAUGGUGAUACAAUCCACUGACCUUCUGUACUAAAACCUUCAUCCAACUCUUACUAAAAGACCGCUCAAAUCUUAUGGCCCAGUGAUCGCGAACCGAAGGAUCCUGGUGCGAGGUAAUGGAAAGCUGUGUUGAGGUGAACUCAUCACAUUAUCAAAAAGGUCUACCAGAGUACGAUAUGAUGGUGAUGAAUUGCAACAAGAUAAUGAGUGGUGACCAUUCAAUUUAGCGUGAAGAUAGUGAUGCAAUCAGCUGAUCACAUACAUUACAAUCUUCACCAAUCUCUUACCAAAAGAUGGCUUAACUUCACAACCAUAUGGAAUUCUUUCUGGUAAGCUUGUGAAAAGGUUAUGCCCUAACUAUACCUGUCCGAAUUGAUAAGAAUUGGGCGCACACUUCCACCAAUUUGAUCAAUUGUGAAUACCUCACUGAUUAAGUGAGAAACCAUAUCAAGAAGGUUGGAAGAGCACUCAAGAAUUUGAGGGUCAAAACAAAUCCAUUAAAAUCUAGAGUACAAGAUAUUAAGAUUUGAACCAGGAACCAUGCCGAGAACAAAUAUUUUUUAUUUUUUAUUUUUUAUUUUUAUUUUUUACACCCUCUGUGUAAUGUUCCUGUAAGAUCCAGUUCACAUUGAGAAACAAACAAGCGAAGGAAGGUAAAGAUGCAGAAAUAGAAGUCACUGUUUCUGAUUAUUCAAUUAAACAUCAUCAUAAGGUUGAUUGGUUUCUUGGCCAAAAGAAAAUAGGUUUAAGCUCAAGAAUAGUUAAGAACUGUUAAUAAGAUUUGACGAGGCCAAAGACAUUUCGAGAUUCACAGUACUUUGUGAGAGUACAAGACAAAGUUCAAAAAUUAAACAUAGAACCUCUGAACUAACAGAAUGACGAAGAAGAAAGAUACAAACCAGCUUGCAUAUGCAUGCAGUGACACGAUUGGCUACCCUAAAGUGAUGCCUUUGAGGAAACCAAAGUUCAAUGAGUCUAGAGAAGUUCAGAGCAAAGCGCAAUCUUCGUACAAUGAUGAGUAUGGUAGAGUCUUAAGCCAUUACACUAAAAAUUACAAGGUUGAAUAGUUAAUGGACAAGAACAUUAGUUAGUUGAGCUAUAAGCAAGAGGCUAAGUUCACCUCUACCGAAAAGUUCAUGGACAAGGUGCUAGGGUUUUACCACCGAGUACCAGACCCAAGUGAAGUUCAAGGAGUCUGUUUAUCCAAACAAGACCGGAUCUUCAUCAUCCAAGUCCAACUACCACAACAACAAGAAUCGCAACUCUAUUUUGGGAAAUUAAUGACAAUAUCAUCUGCUACCAAGGAGUUUCUUAAGAAAAAUAUAAAAACUCAACGAAGUCAAUGCUCGAAGAAUUUGGUGUAAAGCUGACGGUCAAAGGUUAAGGAACUUGACUUCAUCGUUGGAAUAAGCAAAAAGAUUAUUAAUAGAAAUUUCGUCGAGAAUUGUCCUAAAGAUUCACACGAAUAUCUUCAGUGGAAAUGAGUCUGAGAAUAUUGAUUUGCUCCCACUAACUACCACUUACUAACCGUCGUCACCACCAGCACUUAAUUGCUUUUUUAGCACGCACUUCGAAUGUUUCGAGCAAUUUCCAAGAGAUAUGGCUCUGCCCGCCAUUCCUAAGGAACGCAUGUUGCAGAGUAUCGAUAUGAUGUUGAAAGUCGUCCAACAAUCCAAUUCAUCAUUGUUAAGGUACAAUCUCGACACAAAUUCUUAUAUUUCAGUUAGAAAGUGACAAUUCAAAUAGAGAAAGGUUAGCAUAACUGCGCCGAAUGGCACCAAAUCUAGAAGUCCUGACAUCUAAAUGAUGUCAAAACUAGCACUUUACGAGAAUAGAAGAGAAUCCUAAGUAUGCUCUGAACAAACCACGCUCUGAUACCAAUCUGACACGCCUCGAUCCUGAUAUUUCCCCGAAUACCAGGAUAGGCACGUGCUGGCCGACACCCGAGGGUGACGAAAGCCAUUUAUUGAGUUCAAAGGCUGAAAAUAAGGAAUAAUUAAGAGUUAUAAAUAUAAAAGAAUAAAGAAUAUGCAUUUAAGGAACGUGUUCAGAGCAUACAACUAACCUGAAUACUAAAAGAAAUAAUAUAAAAUUGAGUCAACAAAAUAGUAGGUCCUACACCAAGAGGACUCGAAAAUGCCGCUGCGGAAGUGCCUUGACGCCAGGAUUGUAUGUCUCGAUUCUAAGUCCUGAAUGGGGGUGCAAAACAAAGGUGAGUGGACCAAGUUCAUAUAUACAAUAAUAAUAAAACAAUUAUCAAGAUACUAACCCUCACAGUUUAUAUACAGAAAACUACUAGCGUAAUAAGUGAUAGGUCUACUGAAAACCCUAGCAUGCCAAAAACAUCUCUAAAGACAUAUCACGGAAAUCAAAACAUCAAACGUUCCAGAGAUUGUCUCGUAAGUGCGAUGUACUGCCAGUAAAAUCACUGAAUAAAUAUAACUCCCGGCCCUAUGCCAUCACCGUGGUCUCAAUGCCCGUAGCUAAAGAUUACCAACUCCCGGCCCAAUGCCUGCUCCAUGUCCCUUAGCUCGAAGCUAGAGAUUAUUUCUUCUGUCCUAACUGCCAACACCAGAUCCUCGGCCCAAGUGGCAUAGUGUCCACUAAGUACGCACAAAUAAUUACGCCUCUCAUAAAUAAUCACUUCAUAGUAUAAAGUCAUCCAUCGUCUAUACUAUAAAGAGGGGUUUCUAAAACAUGUUCUAGCAUCCUAUCGUCAUCUAUCAGAUAGUCUGCCAGUUCAUGGUUUUUAUAGAAAAUACGAUAUGUCAAACUAUAACUCAAUAUAGGCUAAUAAUUAAUUCCUCACUAAAAUUGAGACGAUAAACAACAUAUUCCAAAAAUAUGCUUAACAUAAAAUCAGUUCAUAAACUCGUAAGGCAUGCAUUUCAUUUAUGUAAAUAAACUAUAAAAUUAUGCAAAUUUUAGAAGGGGUCCACUCACAGAUACUCCGUAGCAGCAGAGUUGUGCGGAAAAAGAUUAAGGAAAUCCCCGCUAGCAACUUCACCUAAGCAUAAAAAUGUACAAUUCAUCAAACUACCCAACUAUAGAAUUUCAAGAAAUGGAAAUGGGUCUUGGGUUUGGAUGCAGAUUAGGGUUUAGGUUUAGGUUAAAUAGGGUUAGGACCUAUUGGGUUUUCUUAAGGAUUUAGGCUUGAAUUAAAUAAAAUAAAGGAUUUGGGGUGGAUGGUUAGAGCCUAACGGGUUUAGGGUAAAGGGUUUUGGACUUAGAGCCCCAACAGAAAUGGCCCAAAGGCCAUUUUGGUUUUUAAAACAAUUAAAUUAAAACAAAAAUAAACUGAGCUUAAUGGGCUGGAGGCCAAAGUUCCUCCCGACCCUAAGGCUUGAAGCCAAAGGGUUUGGGCAUUGCUGUCACGGCCCUAAGGCCUUUUGGGUCUUAAGGAUUUAAAUAAAAAAAUAAAAAGGGAAAGGUUGAGGGUACUGGGCUGGCUAAAACGGGUCUAGAGCCCAUGGGUUUGAGAAACGGCCUAAAAGGCUUGGUGUCGACGGGAACAACGGAGAAGAACGCCGGAGCCUUCCCAGCUCCGGCAGACUGCAAACCACGACCCUAGACUCCGAUCUAGGUAUUAAAAUGAAGCACAAGACGAGAGAAGUGUGUUUGUACCUUCCUUUUGUCGUAGAACGGCUGGAGACGAUCGAAAAAUCCCUCAUCUCACACAGGUUCGCCGGAGAUGGGUGAGCUCUCCUCCGAGUCUAUUUCGUUCUAAUUAAGUAGUUGGGAAUUAAUUUCACGUCAAUCUAUUUAAAUUAAUCCCUGUGGAGAAUGACCUUGCUUGAGCCAAUUAUACUACAAUAUCCCUUGCAAUAUCCUUGGUUCUCUUGCAAGUAUUUUAGGUGUUUUUAACCCUUUUUGUGUAGGUGAUAAAAAUCCUAUCAAUGUCUUAAUUCAUCCAUGGGAGAAUUUAGGCAUGUUUUGUGUCUUAAUUCCAGCCAUUUUACUCUCUUGGCCGAAAUUAUGAGGCAUUGUUGCCUAUUUUGUGAGCAAUCUUCAAUUCUUGCUUGUUUUAUGAAGAUGCCUUAACUUUCUUUCCGGUUUUAGGACCAAUUUGGAUUCCCUAACCGAAUUUAAGGGGGAUUCUCCCUUAUUACUGAAUUUUAGGGAAGUUUUAUACUUCCUUUGCUUGUCUUGUGCCACAUGUCCUUGAUGACUUGUCCAUUUGUGAUGAGUCAUAUGCCAUGUGGAACUUUGAGAUGCUUUUACAUAUGUACAAAUGCCCCCACUUCAAGGCACAUUGUAAGCAUGUGCUUGUCACAUGUAGGAAACAUGUUUUGAAGUCCUGCAAUGUGAAUUUUUUAACUCAAGGGUCGUCGAGACUUGGUCUGAAUUAGUUUGCUUCUUCAAGGGCCGUAAAGGCGUAUUUCUUGAAUCGAGAUGAUGAAUUUUUUCAAGGGCCUUUGAGGCGUGCUUCUUGAAUGAGUCUUUUCUUCAAAGGCCGUUGAGGCUUGGUCUUGAAUUGAAGUGGUAAAUUUCGUCAAGGCGUAUUUCUUGAAUGAAAUAUUUCUCCAAGAGCCGUUAAGGCUUGAUCUUGAAAGAAACGACAUUUUUUCUUCAAGGGCUGCAGAGCCUUGAUCUUGAAAGAAAGGACAUUUUUUCUUCAAGGACCGUAGAGGCUUGAACUUGAAAGCAAUGAAAUAUUUUCUUCAAGGGCCGUAGAGGCUUGAUCUUGAAAGAAAUUUUGAAAAUGGAUAAAUCGGCACAUACUUAUUAUACGUAUUUGAUUUUCCAUAAUCUUUGACAAAAUGCAUUUAGCACAUUUUGAAUUUUUUCCUUGUGGUUGUAGAAAAAAUGUUUCCCUUCCUUCAGUAGGAAUCCUCUUCAAUUUUGGUAACGAAGGUGACUUCUUUCAAAAUGUUGGAAAGCUUUUGGGAUUUCCUUCAAGGUUUUGGAAAGAUUCAAUUCUUGUUCCUUGAUGAGUAGGAUGUGCAUUUUUCCCUUCCUUUCUUUUUUCCUUCCCACGGCAAAGGAGAAUUUUGUUUUUUGUUUCUUGUUUUGAUUUCCCAUGGCAUGAAGGAGGGAUCUUUUUCCUUUCUUCUUCUGAUUCCACGGCAAGGAAGAAGCUUUCCUUCCUUGUUUUGAUUUUCCCAUGGCAAAGAGGUAUCCUGCUUUCCUGUUUUUUUUUUUUUUUUUUUUGUGGAAACAUGUCAUCUGACUUGCACACUCAAUUUGAGGUUGAUUUCUUUCUUGGAGAAUUUUGAAAAAAUAUGGGGAAUGUAGCUUUAUCCCUUAUAUCGCAUAUAACUAGAAAAAAUCGGGAAAGCCUUCAACUUUGUAUUUUCCUAUAGCUGCACAAUUCCUGACGGGAAAGUAAUUUCUACGGGAAUGACUUUGAAAACUGGAAUGUUUGGCUUUAGGGAAAAUUAUGAAAUUUGGACAUAAUGAUCCUCAGCCACUUAGCUUCCCUAUCUAAUUGGCCUUGCAUAAAAAUUCUUCCAGAAAGUUAAACUAUCAUAAAAAAUGUCUUGCAUGUGCAGAUUGGCUGUAAGUUGCCAUUUUUGCUUGAAAUUUGCUUCCUUCUUUUGAUGGGAAUGUGCUUUCUUGUUUUGAUUUUCCUUUUGCUAUUUAGGUAUGUAUUUUCCUUAUAGCAUUAGGAAGCAAUUGACCUUUAUAUAUAGGACAAUUGGGUGUAUAUUGUUUCCACAACACAACUCCUUUUGCUGUGCACUUUGUAACUGCUUGGAGUCGUGGGUUUUCUUUGUUGAUGUGCUUGCCGUGCCUGUUGUUGCUGCUUGGAGCUUGUUGCCAUGUGUCACUUUUACCGUGUGGGAUAGUGCAAAAGACUGCAGCGUUUUUACGUUGUGUAGUGCCUUUUGGUCACAACUUUCCUAGGUGGUGACAUAGUUGUGCCUCUUGCCGCUACUGCCGCUACCGUGCAAUUGCUGGUUGGAACUUGUUGUAGUGCGUCACUUUUACCAUGUGGGGUUGUGUAAAAGAGUGUAGCGUUUUUAUGCUGUAUAAUGCCUUUUGGUCACAACUUUCCUCGGUGGUGACGUUGGUUUGCCCCUUGUCGCUGCUUGGAGCUACUCACUUUGAUGUGCUCGAUCAAGCUUUAUGGUUGAUUUCUUUUAUCGCUGCGACUUAAUCAACAUCAUCCCUUGACGCUCAUGAGGUUAGUCUCGCAUGCCUUUUGUUUUGGCAAAGCAAAAAAAACUUUUUUCUUGUUGUGCCCUUGUGCUUAUGUUGCCUUAUUUGUUUCUGUUACAACCAUGGUAUUUUUCAGGUGCUUUAAGAACAAUACCAUCACCGUUCUUGCAAAGGAAGGUGAGUUGCAAGAUAGGGGAACGACGUUGAAGCUUUACGUGCAGUUGAUUGGCCCUAAGGCGCUUGUUCUUCCUGCCAAAGACAACUUGAUGCACAUCAAGUCGUGGUUUUCUUAAGUGUCUUGGGAGGUGACAGAUUUUGGUCAACCAACUCCAAAGAAGAAGGCGUGUACAUCAAGGAUUCUUAUUUUGAAUCAUUCGCACUAUGCUCAUGACAAUUCACCGGUUUCGUUUGAGCUUCUUGGCGAUCGUAUUUGUAGCGGAGCUAUGACUUGAAGUGGUGCCUUGUUGACUACUGGAGAAGCCGCCUAUGUUGAGUUUCAUUAUGAGUAACUUGGCUUUGUAAGUUUGUUCUCCCCAAAGACGACGUCAACUUUAUCCAUCAUUCGAGGUGUUAUCUUGGAGCAGGAAUCUACACUUUCUUAACAUUAGAAGGGGAUUUCAUGCCUAGAGCAAGGGAAAGGUGCGGCCAUAGAAGUGCCUACUUUGAAGACAUUGGAAGGCUUGCUUGAAGAUCAUUGUCGCAGCUUUAGGGACAUAACUUUCAAGUAGUGUCUUCCAUCUUUUGUACUUUAGGCCUUCCUUGCUUUUGCUCUUUUUGUAAUAAGGCUUUGUAGCCAAAUUCUUCCUUUAAAGAAAUAAAGUAUUCACAUUUUGAAUUUGUUCUUUAUUUUUCAAAGUGUUUAUGUUUUUGUUGAUGAUGUGACUGUACUUGAAGUUUUGAAGUUUCAAGUUGCCUACGUACCCUCCGUUGAGGAGGGAUCAAGUCAUGACGUAGUUCAAAUGGGUGAUGGGUUUUUACGAUCUUGAUGGUGGUUUUUGUUUUUGUUUUGCUUUGCCGUACACAGUUUAUGCCCUCUUACGGGCUAGGAGUAUUGGAUGUCACCUUUUAUGCUCAUGAGAACAAUGAGCGUUGUGCCAUGUGCAGUUUAGGCUUGUGCAUGCGAGGAGCAUUAGGUGUCGUCUUUUAUGCUCAUGCGAACAAUGAGCGUUGUGCCAUUUGCAAUUUAGGCUCGUCGUGCAGGCGAGGAGCAUUGGGGGUCGUCUUUUAUCCUCGUGCGAACAAUGAGUGUUGUGUCGUUUGCAGUUUAGGCUCAUGCAUGCGAUGAGCAUUGAGUGUUUGCCUUAAGGGUAGUAGCGCUUCAAGAAUCUACCGUUGAUGAGGCCGAUCUUCAAGCCAUCUUCUGCCAUGAUUAAGUUGGCAUCAUUGGUGUAGACCUAUUGUAUUACGUAAGGUCCAUCACACUUUGAUGUGAACUUGCUUUUUGUUUUGUGAGUUGUGAUAAUGGGCCUUUGUAAUGCCAAGACAAGAUCUCCAAUUUGGAAAGGCCUUAGGCUGCCUUUCUUGUUGAACGCCUUAGAUAGCUAUGCUUGGUAGCAUUCCAGGUGUUAUUAAGCUUCGAGCCUCAUUUCAUCAAGUACUUCCAACUCUUGAAGUCGUAACUUUGCAUUUUCUUCUUCAGUCAAGCCUUCUUAUAUAUCCAUCCUUAGUGAGGGGAUUUGACUUUCGACUGGCAGAACAACUUCCACGCCAUAUACAAGAGAAUAAGGCGUAGUUUGGGUAGGAGUCCUAUGUGUUGUCCUAUAUGCCUAAAGUGUUUCGCUUAUUCUUUCAUGCCAGUCUUUAUUUGUUCAGUCGAUCACUUUCUCUAGGAGGUUGCACAACGUUUUGUUGAAUGUUUCUGCAAGACCGUUGGCCGAAGCAUGAUACAUGGAAGACUUGUGCUGCUUGAACUUGUACUUCUCACAAAGCUCGUCCACGAGUCGAUGAUGUAGCGAGGCACACCAUAUUGGUAGAUGAUAUGCUCAUUGAUGAAGCGGACGAUAGUUUCCUUCUUGACUUCCCUUAGGUAUACAGCUUCAACCUAUUUGGAGAAGUAAUCUGUUGCAACUAUGAUGUAAGCCUUUAUGGCAAAUGAUUUUGAUACGAUUGGUCCCACGACAUCCAAUCCCCAUGCAUCAAAUAGCCAUGAAGCAACCGUAGGGUGUAAUGGCUUAGGCGGUUGAUGUAUGAAGUUGGCCUAGAACUGGCAGCCUUGGCACCUUUUGACGUGUUCCAGGCUAUCCUUCACCAUGCUUGGCCAGUAGUAGCCCAUCCUUUUGAGCUGGAACUGCAGCUUUGUCUAUACUGAUGCGUUCCGCAUACGCUUCAGCUUCUUCCAUGGCUUGAUUAUUUUCUUCCUCACCUAGGCAUCUUAGAAGUACUCCUUCAAAAAAGCGUUGAUAGAAUGUUCUUUUGUAAUACAAGAAACGAGGUGCUCGUCGACGUAUUUCAGAGCGGUGUCUAGGAUCGUCCGAGAGCUUUCCAUGCUCCAAGUAGUCGAUCAGGGACUGUCUCUAUUCUUCAAUGUCGAUUGAAAGUACUGAGAUGACAUUGUAUCAUCCAGUAGCAUUUCAGUGACGAGCGGGAUCACCCAUCUCUAGCAAACUGGCACGUUUACAGCUUCGUCUUCUCUUAGCGUCAUACUUGAGGCUAAGUUAGCGAGAGCGUCUGCCAUUUGAUUUUCUUUUCUUGGCAUAUGUUCUAGUGUCACGGUCUUGAACUUUCGGAGCAGUUAAGUUGCUAGUUAGAAGUAUGGGACGAGAUCAUCUUUCCUCACUUUAUAUUCAGUCAAGAGUUAAUUGAUUAUGAGUUUGGAGUCGUCAUACACUUUUAGCGUUGUGAUUUCCAUGUUGAUCGCCAUUUGAAGUCCGAUAAUUAGCGCUUGGUAUUCAGCGACAUUGUUGGAGCAUAGUUGGCUUAACCGGAAGGAAUAGGGUAGUAUUUGUCUUUGUGGUGACAUGAAUACUACUCCUGCCCCGUUCCGUCUGCUCGUAUGGAUCCAUCGAAGAACAUUGUCCAUGUCAGGAAGAUAUUGACGUAGAACACCUCAUAGUCGGGCAAGUCAUCUGAGAUUUUCCAAUCGGCUGGGAUUGGAUGAUCGGCAAGGAAAUCUACUAGUGCCUGUCCUUUGAUGGCUUUAGCUGGAACGUGGAUGAUUUCAUAUUGAUUGAGAAGCAAUGCCCAUUUUGCUAGUCGCCGCGUUAAACCUGGCUUGGACAUGACGUAUUUGACUGGGUCAGCUUUGGCAACCAAGUAGAUGGUGUAAGCAUGCAUGUAGUGUUUGAACUUUUAGACAGUAAAGACUAAGGCAAUGCACAUCUUCUCAAUUGGGGUGUAGUUGAGCUUGGCCCCAGUGAGGGUUUCUACUUAGGUAGUAAAGUGCUCUUUCAUUUUGGUCUUCAUUUUCUUGCGUUAAGAGUGCUUCAAUGGAACUUCUUGUGCAACAAUGUACAGGAUGAGCAACUUUCCAAGCAUGGGAGCUCCUAAGACAGGUGGGCUUGCUAGGUACAUUUUUAUGCUUUCGAAGGCAUUGCGGCAGGCGUCAUCCCAUACGAAUGAAGCGUCAUUCUUCAUGAGUCGACUGAAGGGUUGAUAGCGUUCGGCAAGGUUGGAGAUGAAGCGUUUUAUGAAGGCAAGUUGUCCUUGUAGACUUUUUAGCUCGUGUAGAUUCCUUGGCUCGGGCAUGCUUUGAAUGGCCUUAAUCUUUGACUAGUCUAUUUCAAUGCCACGAUGCUUAAUAAUAAAGCUAAGAAACUUCCCAGAGGUGAUGCCAAAUGCACAUUUUAACGAGUUUAUCUUAAGGUUGUAGUGCCGUAAUUUAUCGAAUACCAUUCGUAAAUCAUUCAAGUGAUCGGAUCUCUUCUUGGUCUUGACAACUACUUCAUCUAUGUAACAUUCUACAUUUUUAUGUAGCAUGUCGUUAAGGAUCUUCUGCAUGGCGCCCUGACAUGUGGCUCCAGAUUUUUUAAGGACAAUGACGAUGUUAGAGAUCCACUUAGGGUAUUGCACCUCUCGAAUGAAGAAUGCUUCAAUUAGCUUGUCAAUCUUGGCUUCAAUUUAUGGGAUGAGUUCGGAUCAAUAGUGUCUUUGAGUUUGCUUUAUCGGUUGCAUUCCAGGCUUGAUUGCCAGACGAUGCACGGUAAUGGUAGGGUCAAGGUCGGUCAUUUCCUUGUAGGUCAAAGCAAAGACGUCUUAAUACUCCAAUAGCAGUUGGUAGUACUCAUCGGUCUCAUAUAUGCUUAAUAGUGCAUUUACAAAGAUAGGUUUUAGCUAAUUGCUUGUACCUAGGUUGAGCUCAUUGAGAUCAUCAAUUGUGGCUUGCCCUACCCGUCUUCGAGUUGUGGUGGCGCAGCAGUGACAUCCUCCUCGGGAACUUCAUCUUCCUCAUCCUCUUGGAUUGUGAUAUGGAAAACAUCUUGGACCUCAUCUUCAAUGUAGUCUACUUGGGCUUGUUAGCGUGAAGAUUGGCUAGUGUGGAUGAUGGUGCGCUUUUUUACCUUUAAUUGUCCUUUUCUGUCCACUUCUAAAGUUGUUUGGCGCUUCAUCCUUGAAGAUAUCAAGCUGUGAACGUCAUCUUUUCCUACUAGACCGUCGAGCUUUUCUUCAUUUGGCAUUGUCUUCCUCUUUCUAGAAGUCGUCUUGGUUUCUACAAGUCAUUCCAAGGUAGACUGUCGUGGAGGAGAGCUAGCCAUGUUACUUUAUUUCUUAGGUUUUAACAACUUUUCGAAGACAGAGCUUUAGGGUGUUGGCAUGUUAAGCAGUUUAAAGAUGGAAGUUUGUUCUUGACCUACAAUGCGAUCAAGUGCCGAAAUUUUGGGUUUUGAAUGAUUCAACCUAUCGAAGACUGAUGUUUUAGGGGUAGGUUUAGGCUCCUCUUGAUUUUGUUCAACGUUUAUGUUGAUGUGUUGAGAGCUAGCAUUUUUCGUUUUGCUUGAAAUCUUCACGGGUGUAUUUGGUGUGAAGCCAAGUCCAGCUUUGUUGCUGUCAACUCCAUAACCAUGCUCCUUCAACCUCUUUUGAGUCUCGGUGAGGUCAUGUUCUUUGUUGUUGACGGCGUUUGCAAUUUUUUUUCCAAUAUUUGAAGAGGAAGUGAAAUCAUACCCAACCUUUGACAUGAGUUUGUAGGCGUUUAGGUUGAAGCCUUCUUCGGUCAUCUUAGUUGGAAGAGAGCUUAGUUCCAUCCUUUUUGGCAAGGGUUGUAUGAAGCCUUGCGGUGGCUUUGAGAUUUUAGCAUUGCCUAGCUGUGUCAGAGGUAAAACUUCAUUUGCCUUGAGCAACUUUAUGUCAUCCUUGUGCAGCUGUGUGUCGGCUUUGCUUGUUUCGAACAAGGAUUGCCCACUUUUCUUUCUCAACAUCGGGAUGUAUUGGAAGACGGGUGUGUUUGAUCUUUUUGAAGGCAUCACAUUCCCUUUGGUUGUUGUGGGCUUAACAAGUUCAUUGUUGUUUUUGCUUAAAGAUGGCACGGCUUGGCACUUUUUUUUUUUUGGUGCGGCUUUGCUUGUGGACUUGAUCUCUUUUAGAAGAGAUUCAGGCACCGUUUCUUCAUCCAUGUAGAACUUGACAUCCGCGAAGUGUGAUUUAGCUUCGAUGAAUGGCUUAGUGUCACCUUGUAUCACCUUCACUCCUUCUAGGUAGUAUUUUAAGCAUUGGUAGAGGGUGGACGACAUCACUCCAUUCUCAUGGAUCCAAGGCCUUCCCAAUAGCAAAUUGUAGGAAGUUCUCGCAUAAAUCACAUGGAAUAUCGUGCUCGACUUGAGUUUGCUAAUGGGCAUCUUGACGCGAACCAUGCCCAUUGUUAUUUGUCCUCCUUGGUUGAAACCUUGGAUUAGCAGAUGGCUUCAGGUCAGUUCACCCAUCUUGAUGCCGAUUGUAGUCAUUGUUGACUUUGGCAUGAUGUUUAUUGUUGAACCAUCAUCCACAAGCAUGCGAUUGGCUUUGUACUCCUUCACGUACCCAGAAACAAAGAGAGGACAGUUGUGAGGCUUUGACCCUAGCAACAAGUCUUCAUCAGUGAAGUUAAUUGCAUCAUGGACGACAUAACAUGUGGCAUAUUCAUGUGGCCGAAGCUUCAAGCCUUCGUUUUUACUUUCUUGCACCUCGUGGUCAUCUGGACUCGCCAAGACUACUAUUAGUGCUCUUUGCAUCUCCUUGGAUAAUCGUAGCGCCUUCUCGAUGCUAAAGUAUGACGCCAUGCUUUCUUUAGAUGUGGGAGUUUUCUCUUUCUUGAUAGCAAUAACUUUGCCUUUUGAGGGCUCUUGUAUCUCUAUUUCAACCAUGUGAUAGGCAGCGGUAGUGCACUGUUGGAAGAAAUCCUUCAGGAAGUACUUGUACAAGGAGACGGGAAUGCGUGGCUCUUGCUCCAUAGGUUCCCUAGCGUACGUCGGCUUAGCAGCUUUUACGUUUUUCUUAGGCUUCCUAUUGUUACGGCGGCGUUGCUUUCUCACUUGUUCCACUUUUAGUUUUACGGCUUGUGGUCUUGGCUUCCUUGUUUUCUUGUAGGUCACCAAUGUCCACCCUUCUUCAUCGUCAGUAAGUGUAUUUUGGUCACUUGCCUCCAGUGAUGGUUGUGUACAAGGUGUUGUAUGGCUUGAGCAUAGGUGGGAAUAAGCUUGUGUUACUUGGAGAGGCACGAGAUCGAACAAACAAAAAACAAUUGCAGUAGUGUGUGUUGCGGCUGUGUCUUCAAGAUCAAGUUCGAUUUGCCCUUGUUAUGCCAGCUUCAUGACAAGCUCAUUGAGGACGAAGCACUUGCCAACAGGAUGGCUCACGAUACAAUGGUAUCUGCAAUACCUAGGAUCAUUAACAUAAUUCAUCUCUUCUGGGCACAUGCACUUAGGUAACUCGAUCACCUUUUUCUCCAACAUAUGGUUUAGCAUUGCGGCCAUGUCAAAGUCUGAAAAAGGGUACGUCUUUUGCUCAAGCUCUCUCAAAGUGUUUUUGUACCUAUCUUGAGUGCGAGAAGGCUCACCUCUUUUUAUCUUAUUCAUUUUUUUCUUGGAAGAGAUCUUGACGGGCGCAAGGGAGGUCUUGACGGGGGUAGUGUUGAUGGUAAAAGCUUCUUUGGUGGGUUUCUUCCCAGUCUUGUCUACCUUCGGAGCGAACACCUUGUCUUUCUUGAAGUCGGUCAUUGGCUCUUCUUUUCCAUGGUUGGUGAUACUCAGCUCUAUGUCGUGGGAACUAGUAGCCAGUUCCUCAAAUGUCAUUGGCUUUAUGUCUUGGAGGAUGUAGUGUAGGCCCUAAUGCAUGCCUUGAACGCACAUCUCAAUGGCAGAGGUUUCAGAAAACCGAUCCUUAUAAUCCAGACUUAAUAAGUGUCAUCUGUUGAUGUAGUCAACGAUCGGUUUCAUCCUUCCAUUGCUUUGUACUUGUCAUCUCCAGCAUGCUUACAGUGAUGCGCGUGUUACAGAAACGGUUAAGGAAUUCCCUUUCAAGCUGGUCUAAGCUGUUGAUAGAUUUGGGCUCGACGUCGGUGUACCAGUCAAAGGCAUUACCUUUCAACGAGCACACGAACUGCUUAACGAGGUAGUCUCCCUUUGUCCCAAUGUUGUUGCAAGUUUUGAUGAAAUGGGCAAUAUGUUGUUUAAGAUUGCUCUUUCCAUCGAAUUGCAUGAACUUUGGCAACUGAUAACCCCUUGGCAUCCUUAAGGCAUUAAUCUUCUUGGAGUAAGGGUUUGAGUACAGCACGAAGUCAUGUGAGCUUCUUUGGUAUUAAGCCUUAAUGGUGUUAGUGAUCAUCUCCUGCAGUUGCUGGAUAAAAAGAGAUCUCAUGAGCGUUGUCACUUGGUCCAGCUUUUCGUCGACUUUCUCCACUAGACGCUCUUUCUUUUAGUUGGUUUCCUUCUUUAGUGGAUCAACCUUCGGGUCAACUUUGUUGUCUUGUUGCAUCUCCAGACGAUUGACGAGCGUAGCAAUUUGCAAGUCCUUUUCCUCCACGGUCAUUAUCAGCCUUGCAAUUGCUUCACUCAUUUGAGCCAGCUGCUCCUUGAUGGAAGUUGCACUAGUAGUUAUGACUUGCAUGGCUACAGGACAUGAGCUGCUUGAGUUGGUGUCAGAAGUCAAAGACUCAAAGUACCUUCUCUGGCUUUCUUCCCUUGGCGCCUUUAGCGAGGCCAGAGUGAUCACAGGUACGUGCCUCGGGUACUCUUACUCAUUCGGCAGAGUUGGUGGAGGGGUGGAAGGCACGACAGAGAGAGUUCUUGCCUUGCUUCGGGUUGUGACGCCCAAAGUGCCACCACUUGCGGCAAGGAUGCCCUUAUUCUUCGCGUUGGUAGCGGGAACAACUUGAUCUUUCCUUAAUGCCAUUCGUGUUUUUUUAUUGCGGAUUUGAAGACAAAGAUGAGAGGCAAAGAUGUCCCAUCGGGUGUGCCAAAUUUGUAAAGACGAAAAUUCGGUAUCGAAUGAAACGAGAACAUGUGUACAAAGUAAAUUUGUAGGUUACACUCUCCGUUUAUAACUUUUCUUUUGAUUUAGUCUUCAAAUUUGAUGUAGAUGGUUGAUUGUUGAUCCAAGGGUCGUGAAGACUUGAUCUCGGACGAACAGUUGAACGAUUGCUUCAAGUUUUGAGCUUGAAAACAACGCGUGGAUGAUCUUAACCUCAAGGGUACGACAAAGGGUGAUGUUGAUGCAUGAUUUUGCUGAUUCAAGGGUCUUGAUGACUUGAUCUUGAAACGAACGUUGUUAUAAGUUUAUAAGCUUGCAACAAAGUCUUGAAGGAAUCGGCACUAGCGUUUGUUGAUUCUUCAAGGAAGUGCUUCGGCUUUGGUCGAGAGAAAGCUUCGGCUUUUGGUUGAAUGUUCUUCGAAGAGAGCUUUGGCAGCUUAUUAGUCCUCAAAGGUUUGGCAAAGGUUCUUCUGUGUAUAGAUUUUUUCGACCCUUAUGCUUGUGGGAGGACCUUGUAUUUAUAGGCCUCUCAAAGCUUGCCUUUGGGUGGAUUUGGCUUUGAUUUAUGUCCUAAUUCGUCCAUGGGAAAAUUUAGGCAUGUUUUGUGUCUUAAUUUCAGCCACUUUACUCUCUUGGCCGAAAUUAUGAGGCCUUGUUGCCUAUUUUGUGAGCAAUCUUCAAUUCUUGCUUGUUUUGUGAAGAUGCCUUAACUUUCUUUCCGAUUUUAGGACCAAUUUGGAUUCCCUAACCGAAUUUAAGGGGGGUUAUCCUUUAUUGCCGGAUUUUGGGGAAGUUUUAUACUUCUUUUGCUUGUCUUAUGCCACAUGUCAUUGAUGACUUGUUCAUUUGUUAUGAGUCAUGUGCCACGUGGAGCUUUACGAUGCAUCAUUUGUAUGCAACGAAAUUUACAUGUCUACAGACCUCCUAGAGCGAACCACUCAAACCAACGAGAAGAUCGAUACGACAUCCAGACUGAGGACUUAUAUUACCAAUGACCCAAAACAUGUAGGUCCUCCUUCUCCAAGAGGCGUCAACCAUCAUGAGUGAUGUGGAGAUGCCCCCAAAGUCAUAAAUAGGAAGCUUCGUGCAAAGAAGAGUGCUUGGGGGAAAAGGAGCACAAAAUCACCGAAUAGAAAACCAAGGGAACCGAUCGAGAAUCCAGGAAACCGCCCCGACAUGAGGAGCACCCUAAGGAAGGUCAUGGGCAAGGAAAUGAAAAGUGUAUAGGACCGGUUGGAAGGCAUAGGGAGGUCAUGGGCGAGGAAAUGAAAAGUGUUUAGGACCCCCAACAUCAUUCGUACUCCGUUUCCAAAUGGUUUAGUAAACUAAUUUAACAAUAAUUCAAUUCUAAUUCCUUCUUAAUCCAAUUAAUUUUCAAUUCAAUUUCUCCUCAAUUUAAUUCACCUCGUUCUAAUUAUGGAUCAUUAAACGAACCAUAAAUAUAUAUUUGAGCUGCAGUGGUUCAGUUGUCAAAUUAAUAUUUGAAUUCAAAACCAUUAGGAAAAAGAUUAUUUGGAAUUGGUGUUUAGAGAGAUUGCCUGGAGCAUUUUGGGGAAAAGAGCAAACAAAUUUAUCUGUUUUCUGAAACUUUCAUAUGAUGAACCUCAUUGGCCCAUUUGCGGUGCAGGUUACAGAUUUUGACAAGCAGAAGUGAUCGGACAUCUUCUGAAUUGAAUUACAAUUGAAUUCUGUCUUCCCGAGAAAAGCAAAAUUAAAAGCAAAAUUAGUGAAUUUUGCUGGGACCCUAUAAAACGAUUUCCAAUGAAUUCUUUUAUUGAGCACGAUUAUCUUUAUGAUGCCUGACUUCUUUUAUUCAGCCCUGAACUCUUUUAUUGAGUAAUCUCCAGCCUCCAUAAAACUCUCAUUUACUCCAAAUAAACUAGUCCUAUCUCCCUAUAAUCCAUUUCUUCGGGCUGGUUUGGUAUUGCUGUGUUUUGAAAAAAAGCUGCUGUGAGAAUAAGCGGCUGUGCUGUGAGAAUAAGCGGCUGUGAAAUAAAGCAGCAGAGCGUUUGGUAAACUUUUUUGUAAAAGUGCUUUUGGAAAAAAAAGCAGUCUGAUAGUGGGUCUUUUCAUUAAAGGAGCACUGUAACUCCAUGUGCUUUGAAAAAAAGUCAGUUUUCCAAAGCUGCAAAUAGCAGCUUCAGCUUUUUCUUUUGAUUUCAGCUUAUUCUCACAGCAGCUUCCAAAAUAAGCCUUUUUUUUAAGUUUACCAAACACCUAAAACCCUCACAGCUUUUUUUCAUAGGUGCUUUUUUUUUUAAGCACCUCACUCCCAAACUAGGUCUGCGUCUCCUAACCCUCCAACAUCUUCGUUUAAACCUCAGAAAUCUUCUUCUCUCAAUGCAUCAUCUCUGAUUUCUCCUCAUUCCUCAACUAUCUACAUCCUCCUCUGAGCCACCUUCGACAUCUGCUUCGAAACCAUGUCCAUCAUCCUCUGUUGGACCUCCCAUAUGCUCCACUAAGCACCGUCCAAUGUUUAAGCCGGUUCUAUCCCGGGCCUCUUCAGAUGUAUUAGAUCAAAAGGGGAAGAAAAGUUAUGUGCGAGUCGAGAAGGAUUCAUUACCUAUAUUCGCAAUUCCUGUCGAUACGAAAGAUUUGAUCAAGAAUGGCAUUGCGCCGAAACUUCUAAACCAGCCUCUGUCUCCCGCCACAUAUAAGGAUUACUUCGCUGCCCUCUUAUAUGCUGAAGAGUUCUACUAUGAGGUAUUUUUCGUAAUGCUUUUUUCCUCUUGACUUGUAAUUUAUGAAAACUAUGGCUGAUAUCUAAGAGUAUGUUUGAUAUUUUACUUGAAUUUAACUUUUUAAAUUCAAAAAUAAUUUUUAAGUUUUAGGGUUUAAAAACUUGUUUGGUAAGAUUAUUUUAAAAAACUGAACUUAUGAUUAACUAAAAAAAUAUAUUAUAUUCUCUAAAAACAUAAAAAAAUGAGUUUUUAGAGUUUUUAAACUUAAACUAACUCAUUUCUUUUCUCUCCCUUAUUCCCUAUCACUCCAAAUCUAUCUCUUUUUUCUUCUUUCUCUCUUCUUUUUUUUUACCUUUUUUAUCUCUCCUCUAAUUCACUCUCUUCAUUCUCUCACUCAUUUUCUUUUCUAUCUCGUCCGAUCCUUUUUCUUCUUUCUCUUUCCUUCAAUUAUCUCUUACUUUCUUUCAUCCUCUCCCAUUUUUUUAGAUUUCUUUGUCUAGCUUAAGUUGUAAGAUUUAAAAAUUUUAAAUCGCAAACCAAUCAAGUUUUUUAGUCUUAAAAAAAUUGUUUUAAAAAAAUAUUCUUAAGAAAUGUUUUGAGAAAUGAUAAAAAAUUUCAAAUAUGAUAUCAAACAUGUCCAAACCUUUUAUUUAAGAAAAUUUCAAAAGAUAUUAGGGGUACUAUCUCCUUAUGAAGUCUAGUUAAGUUGUGCUCGUAGUAUUAUUGCUUCCAUUAGUUGGUCAUAUAUAUUAUAGAUCGUAGGGUUGUGAUAGAUACAACAUUAACAUUGUUAAUUUCUUGGUUUCUUGUAUGCUUUACAUCCUUGCAUUGAAUUAAAACUCAUGCUUUUCUUUUGAAAUAGAAAUGGCCUCAUUUCGUUUUGGAGAAUGUCACUGUGGAGUUGCACCAAACAUCAAUUGAAAAAAAAACCAAACAAGGAAGAGAGAACCUUCGUAGCAUUUGAUAUGGCCUAUUUUCCUGCGAAUCACCCAUUCCUUUUGUCGAGGGACUUGGUCUAUGUACGAACAUCUGGGACAAAUGCUGAGCCAUUUUAGGUAAACUACGAGCAUCGAUCAAUCAACAUGCAUUGAAUUCUAGAUGUGUAUCUCAUUUUCUUUUAUUAUCCAUCAACAUGAUCUUACCUGUUAUACAGGGCUUUAUAUAUCGCGUUGUCAUGAGCAGUGUUGUUUUAGUAGAGUCUGAAGAUGACUUCUAUGUUCAGCAUAGAAGUGAACAAUGGUGACCUUGACUAGUUUCGCUGACAAAAAUACUAUUGUUAUAGUUACUGGUGAAAUAGGAAACUGUUCACAUUAGGUUCAAGCUGACAUUGAAAAGAAAAAAGGACUGAAGAUUUAACUGUUUGAAAGACUUUCCAAGUCAGUGCCAUGUUGUGUAGAAGCCUCAGUUUAGUGUGUUGGAUUUGGCAUUAAUCAACAUGCCUAAACUAAAAAGGAUUAGGAUAUCUUAGACGCAAGAUAUUUGGAUUUGUGUUUCCUAGUUGAUUUGGGAUUUGGUUUUAGUAUAGGAUUUGGUUUCCUAUAUUCUAGGGACUUUGUGUAAACCUAUGACAUCUAUUAGUAUAAAUAGAUGGAUGUGGGAUAGAGUUUUGUGUGUGAAAGUUGUGAGAAGCAUAUGUUUGUAUACUUGAGAACACUUUGUGUUUGUGAGUUCUCUUGUAUUUGUUGGUAAUCAAUAAAGCUUCUGUUGUUAGAGAGGUACUCCUAUAUUGGAGGAACUCUGAAAUCGUUGUGUUUUGUUUAUUGCUUGAUUGUUUAUUGGUUUAGUUUAUAACAAGUGGUAUCAGAGCUUAGGUUAUUACGUGGGUUGUGACUAUCAAGCAAUGACGAAGACUGGUGAUUCUACCAGUGGUGAUGAUGUUGAAGAAAAGUUUGGCACUAGUGGAACCAAGACGGCGAUUUAGAGUGCUAGGUUUGAAAUUGAGAAAUUUUAUAGAACAAACAACUUUGCUAUGUGGCAAUGUGAGGUUCGAGAUGUCUUGAUACAACAAGAUUUGGUUGUUGUGUUAGGAAAUAUGUCAUUUUCGAUGAAAAAAGAAGAAUAUGAAAGAUUGAAUGCUCAUGCAUGUUUUACAAUUUGGCUAUGCUUAGGAAAGCAACAGAAGUAUGAUGUGAUGAACAUAACUUCUGCGAAGGUAUUGUGGGCUGCAUUGGAGACAAAAUGUAUGAAAAAAAGUGCAGAGAAUCGACUACAUCUCAAGAGCAAGUUGUAUAGGUUCCAAUACAAAGAGGGCACGAAUAUGAUUGGCCAUCUAGAAGAGUUUAACAAGCUUUUAGCUGAACUGGAAAAUCUUGAAGAGAUAAUCAAAGAUGAAGACAAGGCCUUGAUCCUAAUGAACUUAUUGCCUGAAUCAUAUGAGCCUUUCGUGACUACUUGGAUUUAUGGCAGGGAGAUACUUAAGUAUGAUGAAAUCUCAAGUGCUCUUGUGAAUCAUGAGGUAAGACACUUUGACAGGCAAGAAAGGAAUAACUCUGAAGCUUUGAUAGUGAGAGGGAGAUCGAAAGAAAAGAAAGGUUCGUACAGGAAAAAUAGUAGGUCUCAUACUAGAGGAGUCUCAAAUAAUAAAAAGUUAUUGGACAAAGAUGAGUGUGCUUUUUGUCAUGAAAAAUGACACUGGAAGAAGGAUUGCCCUAAAAUAAAAUAAAACACUAGAAAGAAGAAGGAUGACUCAGAAGCAAAUAUGGUUGAAGUCGAGGAUGAGGAAUUUGUCUAUGCCCUAACUGCAUCGACCAUUGUUCAUUAUAGAAAAGAGUGGGUGCUCGACAUAAGUUGUACCCAUCACAUGACUUCUCAAAGGCAAUGGUUUUCAAGCUUUAAAGUUAUAAAUGGAAUUGUGUAUAUGGGAGAUGAUAACCUAUGUACAACUCAAGGAAUUGGAAGCAUCAGGAUCAAGCAUCAUGAUGGUGUGAUUUGAGAAUUGCAUGGUGUAAGAUACGUCACAAAUCUGAAGAAAAAUUUGAUCUCACUAGGCAUUCUCGAGUCACAAGGCUACAAGUUUUACUCCGGUAACAACGUGCUCAAAGUUGCUAAAGGAGCACUUGUCAUAAUGAAAGGGCCUCAGAAUGGCUUACUUUAUAUGCUACAAGGAAAGACUUUGGAAAAUGGAGUGGCUAUGGUAGCUAAUGAAGUGCAAAGUGAUAAAAGUGAUUUGUCUGCAUUAUAGCACAAGAGGUUGGGACAUGUACGAGAAAAAAACAUGGCAAGGAUUGAUCAAGCAAGGGUGGUUAAAAGGAGUAAAAGUUGGAAAGAUAAAGUUCUGUGAGCACUGCGUUCUUGGCAAACAAACAAAGGUGAAAUUUGGCUCAGCUGUUAAUCAAAUGAAAGGGAUUUUGGACUAUGUUCACUAUGAUGUUUGAGGGUUUGCAAAGAAUGCUUUUUUAGGUGGAAAAAGAUGGUUUGUAUCUUUUAUUGAUGACUACUCUCGCAGAUCAUGGAUAUAUAUGAUGAAACGAAAGGACGAGGUUCUUGACAUCUUCCUGGAAUGGAAGAAUAUGGUGGAGAAUAUACCUCUGAUCCUUUCUUCAAAGUGUGUAAAAAAUAAGGGAUUACUUGGCAUUUCAAUGUUAGACAUACUCCACAGCCGAAUGGGAUUGCAGAGAGACUAAAUAGGACCUUGCUCGAGAAAGUUCGUUGCAUGCUAUCUCAAGCUAAGCUGCCAAAGAGAUUUUGGGCAGAAGCUUUGAGCUAUGCAUGUCAUGUGCUUAAUCAACUACCAUUAACAGCAUUGGAGGGUAGAACACCCAUUGAAGUGUGGUUUGGAGAACCAUUUCAUGACUACGAUAAACUACAAGUGUUUGGAUACAAUGCCUACUUUCAUGUGAAGGAAAACAAGCUGGAUCCACAAGCCAAGAAAACUGUUUUUAUGGGAUUCAAUAGUGGUGUGAAAGGCUUGAAACUUUGGUGUCCCGAGUUGAACAAGAUUAUAGUAAGUAAAGAUGUGACAUUCGAUAAAAGUCACAUGAAAUUGAAGGAAGAUGUUCAGAUGGUGGAGCUUAGGGAACAAGUAAUUGUGAAUUCACAGCCAAGUAAGGAAAUUGUGGAAGAAGAAAGACAAGGUGAUAACCUUGAACAUGAAGAGAGUGAUCACGAAAAAGAAACACCAUCAGAAGAACUAAAGAUACAAGAUGAUUGCAUAGCCAAAAGGAAGGGGAAAACAAAACAUAUCCUUACCUACAAUAUAUAAAAAUUGCAUGGCCUACAUGGUAUAUGCAUUGCCAGUAAUUGAGGCUGAAAUUCCUACUAAUUUUGAAGAAGUAGUAAAUAGUGAAGAAGAGAACGUUUCAUCAUCCAUUGCAUCAUGUAAGCCAUGCAAUGGAUGAUGAAAGGCUCUCAUUUCACAAGAAUAAGACUUGGGAAUUGGUGGAGCUACCUAGAGGAAGGAAAGCAAUUGGCUGCAAAUGGGUUUAUGCAAAGAAGGAUGGAGGGGAUGACAAGAGCUUGGUGAGAUUUAAAGCUAGGCUAGUGGCUAAAGGAUAUGCUUAGAAUGAGGGAAUAGAUUACAAUGAGAUUUUUUUCUCCUGUGGUUUAACACUCCUCCAUUCAAAUAUUGCUUGCCCUAGUUGCACAAUUCAACCUUGAAUUGGUACAACUAGAAGUGAAGACUGCAUUCCUUCAUGGUAAUUUGGAUGAAGAGAUUUAUAUGAGACAACCUGAGGGGUAUCAAGUGAAGGGCAAAGAAAGAUUGGUUUGUAAGCUUAGAAAAUCUCUUUAUGGUUUGAAGCAGUUGCCCAGGCAGUGGUAUUUAAGGUUUGACAAGUUUAUGAAGGGUCAUGACUAUACAAGAAGUCAUUAUGAUCACUGUGUUUAUCACAAGAAGUUGAAAGAUGGUUCCUUCGUGUACUUGUUAAUCUAUGUAGACGACAUGCUCAUAGCCUCAAGCAAUAUUUCAGGGAUAGAAAAGUUGAAGGAGCAAAUGAGAAGGAGUUCAAAAUGAAGGAUCUCAGUGAAGCCAAGAAAAUAUUGGGAAUGGAGAUCAUAAGGGAUAGAUAAAAAGGUUUAGUGUGUUUGUCUCAUAAGCAAUAUCUUGAAAAGUUGUUACAAAAGUUUGGAGUAACAAAAAAUACUAGGCCUGUAGGAACUCCAUUAGGUUCUCACUUCAAGUUGAGCAGUCAACAAUGUCCCAAAACUGAUAAACAAAAGAAGAAGAUGGAUGGUAUUCCAUAUGCUAAUUUGGUUGGAGGAUUAAUGUAUGCUAUGGUGUGUACUCAUCCUAAUAUAGCACACAUAGCUGGAAUUGUUAGUAGAUUCAUGCAUAAUCCUGGAAGAGAGCAUUGAAAUGCUACUAAAUGGAUACUAAGGUAUUUACAUGGAACGAGAGACAAAGGUAUUUGUUUUGAAAGAUGUGUUGAAGGAAUUGAUAAGUUCUCAAUUGGAUAUAUGGACUCAAACUUUGCUGGAGACUUAGACAAGAGAAAAUCGAUGACUGGGUGUGUGUUUACCAUGGCAAAUGGUCCUAUAUGUUAGAGAUCAAUAUUGCAACCAAUAGUGGCAUUAUCAACCACAGAAGCAGAAUACAUGGCGAUCGCUGAAGCUAUCAAAGAAGAAAUGUGGACUUUGAGGUUGUUAGGAGAUUUAGGUGUAGAACAACACAAGUUGGAUGCAUAUUGUGAUAGCCAAAGUGCCAUUUAUUUGGCCAGAUAUCAGGUACAACAUGCUAGGACUAAGCGCAUUGAUGUACGAUAUCAUUUUGUGAGAGAAGUGGUAGCUGAAGGUGAGAUUUGUCUAAAAAAGGUUGCUACAGAAGAUAAUCCAGCUGAUAUGUUGACAAAAGUGGUUAAUGCAGCUGAGUUCGAGCACUGCUUAGAUUUGGUGCAGUUGAAGCAAGUUUGAUCUUGCGAUAUAGUGAAGCAAAGGAACUUGUUUGAUGCCUUGUUAUGGAUUUCAUGCCACGGUGGAGAUUGUUCUAUUUGGCACUAAAUCAACAUGCCUAAACUAAAAAGGAUUAGGAUAUCUUGGACGCAAGAUAUUUGGAUUUGUGUUUCCUAGUUGGUUUGGGAUUUAGUUUUAGUAUCAGAUUUGGUUUCUUAUAUUCUAGGGACUUUGUGUAAACCUAUGACAUCUAUUAGUAUAAAUAGAUGGAUGUGGGAUAGAGUUUUGUGUGUGAAAGUUGUGAGAGGCAUAAGUUUGUAUACUUGAGAACACCUUGUGUUUGUGAGUUCUCUUGUAUUUGUUGGUAAUCAAUAAAGCUUCCGUUGUUAGAGAGGUACUCUUAUAUUGGAGGAACUUUGAAAUCGUUGUGUUUUGUUUAUUGCUUUAUUGUUUUUUGGUUUAGUUUAUAAUAUAGUGUUCAUCACAUAAUUGGAGCAUUAUCAAGAGUAAGACUCAUUCAAAACCUACAAGCAACUUUAUGAUUCUGUUCCAUCGAAUGUAUACAUAUUUUAUAUUACAAAUGUGUAUGUAUGUAUUAUCGUACUUACGCUCAUCUUGAUGUUAUGCGGAUGGUUCUUGUGCAUUAAGAUUAAAACCAUUUUCUUAGAUUAUCCAAUACUCCGAAGCACUGUAAAAUUUUUGUUAUGAGGUGUCAUUUGACUGUUUGGGGUAAGAAAGUGUAGCAAUAGAAGCUAUAUCUUUCAGAAAAGAAAUGGUGCACUUUAAACCUAAAUGGGGAAAGAAAUCGAGCAUCCUCAUGCACAAACUGUGUGUGGUUCCCACUUACCACCGCAAGGAAAAUGUGGUAAUCUUCCAGACCCAUUUUUAGAAGAUUCUCGUUUCAACUAAAUACUUGCAUAUCGAACUUUUAUCUGCACAACUUUAGUUAAUGAAUUUAACAUCUGAACAAGAAUACUCGAUUCAGAAUGAUCACUCGACUCAUUCGUGCAUUACCAUUUAGAAAGAUCACUCUCAGUUCAUAUCUUUGGACUGAGCAUCAGUUCCAAAAUCACUUGUUCGCACUUGUUGGUACCAUAUAUUGGGCCUCGUCUUUGGGCCUCAUCCCUAAGCCCAUGACAAAUGUAAAAGGGGAGGGAGCCCUUAAUCUAUAAAAGGGACUCUCCCUCACCCUCAUUAAGGACUCAUAUUCAACCUUACAUCCAGAGGAAAACAAAGGGUCUUAGAGCCUCACAUUCACCCCUCACAAUAUAGAGGGCAAUACCCUCUCAGCCAAAUAGAGAGCAAAAUGGCAAGGGUUGCAUCCACAGAGAGCUCCCUUGCCGAUCUAUUGUAAUCCAUACAUUUAUACAUAAUCAACAUUAGUGUGGAUGUAGCCCAAACAUUAGGAUGAGCCUCGAUACAUCUUUGUGUUCUUGUGCGUUUGUGUGAUUCACGGUCAGAUUUACGUUGGUCUAAGAUCCUCCAGAUUUUAUGCAUCAACAUUUGGCGCCGUCUGUGGGAAACGACACGAAAAGUUAUGUCGGUUCUCUCUCAAUCUUUCAUCUCACUGCCGUGAAACCUUCACAACCUCACCACUGUCCACCGUGGAUCUGAAAACCCACACAGAGACACAAUCUCUUUCUCCUUCCUUCUCUCUCACUCAUCACACUCUCUUUCACCUCCAUAAUGGAGCCGUGGAUUGACGACUUAGUCGACAACCUCCAAAGCCUAAGUUUCACGUCCACCAUAACCACCAACACCAACAAUACCAAGUGCAGCACUAGCUCCUGCUCCGAAUCCUUGACUCGGCAACUCUCUAUCUCCGACCUCAAAUUCGCAGAGCGCCUCUAUUCCAACGACAUCAAUUCCGUCUACUUGGCCGAGUUGAAGUCCCCCGCUGGGGCCUAAGGGUGCAUAUUUAUAGCGAAGGUGAGGGACAAUAAGGAGCUGAUCAGCUGGAGCAAGGAAGGACGGGCCAGGACAAAGGGAGAAAUACUGGAAAUGUUGGAGCACCCGUUUAGCCACGCUCUACGCGAGCAUCGACGCGCCCAACUAGCUUUUCCUGCUCACCGAAGAAGGGGGCUUGAAGCCCAUGAAAGAUCAUAUAGAUCUUAAUUCACAGACGAAUAAGCGAGACCUGAAGGAGAUUGCGGGCAGCUUCUGGUCAGCAGCUUCAGUUUUUAGCAAAACAUUACAGAAAGGGAGGCAGAAGCAGAAGUUGAAGAAGCGGCGGAACGGCUGCGGGUUGGCUUGUUGCCCGUGGAAAAGCUGAUCGUACGUGUUUCCACCUACUGACAUUAGCUAGAAGAUCUGAGACUUCUGAGCUGGAGAAGGACAUCCAGCUUAAAAAAUGGGAUCGGGAUCGGGAUCAUGGCACAUGGAGAGAAAAGACAGCUUCACAGGUGAACCCGUUAGAGACAUUGAUCAUGUGCUCGAAAAUAGGUCUCUCUUGAUUAUCGUGCUUGGCCCUUUUGGUGAUCCUGCCAAGAAGAAGACUUUACAGAAGCUACCUACCAUCCACCAGUGGAAACACUCACGAAGAAGAUAUGACUUUAUAUUUCUUUAUGUUAUUUCUCAAUUAUUCUAUAAAUGGUGCCCAACUUUACUUUUCUUUUAUCUGCCUCAAUUAUUCUAUAAAUGGUGCCCCAUCUCCUGUGAAUACCACGGGAAAAACGGAGAUAAGAUUCUUUUCUCAUAACAAUUCUAUUAUUAUUCCCUGCCAUCUGCCAAAAGGAAAAAGAAAAGAGCUUUACUUUUCUUUUGUCUGCCAUCUGCCAUCACACGUAUUUAACCCAAGUACCUGUGCAAUAUUUAUUCAUUGCCUAGUGAUAUUGUGACUGCUAUUAAACUAUGUCACUUAUACAACAUGUGAUUUACCACACGACUGAAUAAAUUAUUUAUAGAAGGCAUAUAGUACAAUAUUUUACCUUGACAAACUUUGUCAAUUUGAUUUAUUCAUUAUACGGUCAUACUUAUACUGUCAUUUAUUGUCAGGAAUUAUUGAGCAAUUAGAUCCACUGAUCUACAUUGUUGCUGAUUAAAAGAACCUAAUAUGCGAACCCGACAAGCAGACCCGAAUCAUGUCGAGAAUCAACUCAUAAUGAGUACAUGUCGACAUAAAGUAGAUACUUGCAAUGAGGAAUACCAUGAGCCAAGUGCCGAGCCGUCUCACAGCGAGCAUAGCCUCUAGCUGAGCAGCCUCGCAACGAGCAUCGCUUCUAGCUGAGCAACCAUCUCACCACGAGCAUAGCCUCUAGCCGAGCAACCUCGUAACGAGCAUCGCCUCUAGCCGAGCAGUCUCGUAACGUGUGAUACCUCUAGUUGAGUAUUGCUUUAUGUUGAACAUUGCCUUAUGUUGAGUACUGGUUCAAGACAUCUACCCAUUUCGGCCCGUACAUGGAUUGGAUUUGAAGUCUCCAGCCAAAAAACUCUCUUGACUGAAUACUUGGGGGACUCCUGUUGGUACUAUAUAUUGGGCCUCGUCUUUGGGCCUCAUCCCUAAGCCCAUGACAAAUGUAAAAGAGGAGGGAGCCUUUAUUCUAUAAAAGGGACUUUCCUUCACCAUCAUUAAAGACUCACAUUCAACCUCACAUCCAGAGGAAAACAAAGGGUCUCAGAGCCUCACAUUCAUCCCUCACAAUAUAGAGGGCAAUACCCUCUCAGCCAAACAGAGAGCAAAAUGGCAAGGGCUGCAUCCAUAGAGAGCUCCCUUGUCGAUCUAUUGUAAUCCAUAUGUUGACAGUAGCAACAGCUGGCAAUGCCACAUCAGCUUAACUAAUAGACUAUUGGUGGUUAUGUUGGUUAGAAAUGUUAUAACUAACUGAUAUAGUUACUGAAGUUACUGAUGUAAAUCUUGCAAUCUAUAUAAGAUGAGAUAGCAUUACUGUAAUCUUUAAUUCAGAUCAAUACAAAAGUUUCUUUCUCUAAAACAUUCAUUCUCUCUCUAGAACUCUUCUUUCUUCUCCUUUUCUUGUUCGAGUAUUCAUUGUAGAUUAGGAUUUCUGUAUACGUUAACAUGGUAUCAUCGCCGUGUACGUUCCUUCGUGGCUAUCGUCUUCCGCUCAUGGUAGUUGUUGCCGGAGAUCAUUCUUGGUAACUUCGUGUAGUUUCGUCAGUGUUGUGCGUUCAGUCGGAGGCUUGGUUUUUCUUGCAAGUACAGUAUGUUUUCUGCACUCUAUCUGUUUGUGAAAAUGUCUCAAGGUCUUUUCUUCUGGGUUUGUUGAUUUUUUGUGUGAAAGAAACAAAGGCCGAUGCCAUCUUUCUGCAAUCUUGAUUUGAGAUAUAAGGCCGAAGCCAUUAUCUCGGUGUAAACUCCAUAAGGCCGAUUGCCGGAGUGUAGUUCUUGUGCGAUUCUGUUCUCUUUCUUCAUUCAAGGCCUAUUGCCGAAGAAAGUUGUAUUUUUUUUUUGAGUAUCUGUGGGUCUAUAUCUUGUUGUUUGAAAUCUUGGGUUGUAUUUGUGAUAAUCUUUCGUGUGUGAAGAUGGCUGAAUCUAAUGUUAGAAUUGAGAAUUUGUUAGGGAUGUUGACAGUAAAGUUGCAAGAUGAUAAUUUUGUGAAAUGGAGUUAUCAAUUUUCAUCGGUGUUGAGGGGGUAUGAUUUGUUUGACUUCUUUACUGGAGAAGCACCAUGUCCGCCUAAGUAUGUGAUUGAUACAGCAUCUGGGGUUACUAAUGAAAUUAAUGCUGCUUAUAAAGAUUGGGUGAAAAAGGAUCUAGCUUUGUUAAGUUUGUUAAUUGUAACUCUUUCGGAUGAUGCUAUGGAACAUGUAAUUGGGUGUAAAACAUCUUAUGAAGCUUGGAAAUGUUUGCAAGAAAGAUUUGCCUCUGUUUCAAUGGUUCAUGUGAAUCAGCUUAAAACUGAAUUGCAUACUGCUCAGAAAGGUGGUGAUUCGGUUGAUAAAUUCUUAAUGAGAUUAAAAGGGAUAAGGGAUCAAUUAGUAUCUGCAGGAGAAAAGGUUACUGAUAAUGAUUUUAUCAUUGCUGUUCUUUCUGGUUUGCCUGCUGACUUUGAGAUGAUUAAGACAGUUAUAUUGGCAAGAGAUUCUCCUAUGUCUAUCAAAGAUUUUCGAGCACAAUUGCUUGUAGCCGAAGGUAGUAUUGAAUCUAGAAUGCAUUCUUUAUCUAGUUCUAUGUCUGCUAUGGUUGUUCAAGGUGAAGGACUACAAGGCUUUCAAGGGUAUGAACAUGGUGAGAGCUCUAAUUCUCAGAGGUCUCAGGGUAGUCUCAGCAAUGCUAUAUUCGGUAACAACUUUCAGAGAGGAAAUGGUUUUAAUGAUCAGUCUGGUAGUAAUUUUCAGGGAGGAAAUGGUUUUUUAGGAAUUGGAAAUGGUAAUGGUGGUAGAGGUUUUCAGUCUUCACAGAGAGGAAAUUUUAAUAAUAGAAAGUUUGGAGGUGGGAAUCACAAUUCCAGGUUUGCAUCAGGGUUUCAUAACAGAAAUGGGAAUAAUGGUUACUCUGGGACUAAUGGCUACUCUGGAAGUGGUAAGAGUGUUGCAGGAUAUGAAUCUGCAAGUAAUGGGUUCAUCUCGACUAAUUCAUCUGCUGGUCAUGGCAAUUCUAAGUCCAAUUGGAAUGGGAAUACCAACUCUAAGUACUCGGUAUCACCUGAAUGUCAGAUAUGUUCGAGAAAGGGACACACUGCACCAAACUGCUACUAUAGAGCUGAGAGUGGAGGUUCACAGUCUUCUGGUUCUGUAAUCUGUCAGAUAUGUGGAAAGCGGGGGCACAUAGCUCUUGAAUGCUUUCACAGGAACAACUUUGCAUAUCAGGGAAAUCCUCCACCACCACCAUCGAUUGCAGCUAUGACAGCACAAGCAAAUGUCACUCAAACUGAAGGAUCUGGUGUUGGUUUUACUGCUGAAGAAAACUGGAUAUUGGAUUCAGGUGCAACUCAUCACAUGACUGCAAAUUUACAUCAUCUUAAUCAUGUUAUUCCUUAUACUGGUGAUGGAACUAUUACAAUUGGGAAUGGUACAGGAUUGAAAGUAACACAUAUUGGUUCCACAAGCAUUCCUCUUUCUAAACAAUCUUUGAUGUUAAGAAAUGUGCUUUGUGUACCUAAAAUCACUGUGAAUUUACUUUCUGUUAAGAAGUUAUGCAGAGAUAAUGGAUGUUGGUUUAUAUGUGAUGAUGUUGUCUUCUUCAUACAGGACAAGACAACAAGGAAGAUACUGUACACAGGGACAAGUGAUGAUGGGGAGCUGUUUUCAAUUCCAGUCAAUGUCUUUGCGCAGUUUUUUGCUGCAAAGUUGGAGCACUGUGCUGGUUUUGUUGGAAAGAAGAUUCAAGUGUCAAGGUGGCAUAAGCGGUUAGGACAUCCAUCAGAGGAGGUGCUUGCUGUAAUGCUGCAGAAGUUUAAUAAUAGUGUCAAAGUAGAUAGUUGUGAGUCCAUAUGUUCUUCUUGUAUGAGUGGUAAAAUGAGAAGACAGUCAUUUCCAGUAAGACAAAAUACUGCUACAUGUUUGUUUGAGAAAGUUCAUACUGAUGUAUGGGGGCCAUCUCCAAAGGUGUCUGUACAGGGUUAUAGAUACUAUGUGAGUUUUGUAGAUGAAUAUUCACGAUUUUUGUGGAUUUUUCCAAUGAAUAACAAGUCUGAAGUGUUUUCUGUAUUUGUUAAGUUUUGUGCUUUUAUACAAACUCAAUUCAGUGCUUCACUUAAGUGCUUACAAUCUGAUGGAGGUGGAGAGUAUACAAGUAGAAUGUUUGUUGAUUUUUUGGAUACAAAGGGUAUAAAACACAUGAUUUCGUGUCCUUAUACCCCUCAGCAAAAUGGACUUGCUGAGAGGAAACACAGACAUGUGGUUGAGACUGCAGUGACACUCAUGACAGAAGCAAAGUUACCAGCUCAAUUUUGGUUUCAUGCCUGUUCACAUGCUGCAUUUCUAAUAAACAGAAUGCCAUGUAGUAUAUUGCAUAUGAAAUCACCAUAUCAGGUGUUAGUUGGACAAGAACCUGAUGUUCAAACUCUGAAGAUUUUUGGGUCUGCAGUGUAUCCAUUCAUGAGGCCUUAUAAUGCAAAUAAACUUGAACCAAGAACAACUCAAUGUGUAUUUCUGGGAUAUAUGAUGGGAUAUAAGGGAGUAGUGUGUUAUAACAUUGGUUCAGGGAAAUUAAUUCUUUCUAGACAUGUUGUACAUGAUGAAGAGAUAUUUCCUUAUCAGAAUAUACAAGUGUCAAAGAUAUCACAGUCUAGUUCUUCAUCUUUCCAGAAUUCAAGGCCUAUUGCGAUUCAAUUACCAAGGGAUACGAUUACUCCAUCUUCAGUACAUCAACAUAGAGGAUCUGCACAAGCUAUAGAAGUCAUUUCACAUGUUCAAGGCUCAGAUCUAGUAGCUUCAGUAAAUUCUGAUAUGGUAGUAUCUCCAUCUUCAGAGUCUGCAGUCAGUCCGCCUUCUGAUAAUCCGGUUACAUCUUCUCACCAUCAUGUUUCAAGUCCACCAGAUUCAAGGUUACCACUUUCUCAAGCAAUUGUCUCACAUGAUAUUCAAGCACAGAAUGGUAAUGAACAUUCAAUGGUGACAAGGUUGAAGUCUGGUGCUAUCCUAAGAAAAAAUUAUGCAGCUUUAACUGCAACAUUUCCAGAGUUAAACACUUUGCAGAUAACAAAUGAUGAUCCUUUUGUGGGAGGUUUCUCCUUUAUUUCAGAGAUUGCAGAUUCAUUAGAACCUACAUGCUUUAGACAAGCAGCAUCUUUUUCACAUUGGCAACAUGCAAUGCAAGAGGAGUAUGAUUCACUUCGACUUCAAGGUACUUGGACUUUAGUACCUGCACCAAAUCACAGAUCAAUAAUAGGAAGCAAAUGGGUGUAUAAGGUGAAAAGAAAUCCUGAUGGCACUGUAUCAAGGUAUAAAGCAAGACUAGUUGCUCAAGGGUUUUCUCAAGAGCAUGGUGUAGAUUAUUCAGAUACUUUUAGUCCAGUUGUGAGACAUACAACUGUAAGACUCAUUCUUACUUUGGCUGCAAUGAAUAAAUGGGAAUUGAAACAACUUGAUGUCAAGAAUGCAUUUCUGCAUGGUGAGUUACAAGAAGAAGUUUAUAUGAAACAGCCACAAGGUUUUGUUGAUUCAAGUCAUCCCGAUUAUGUAUGCAAACUUCUUAAGUCACUAUAUGGACUCAAACAAGCCCCAAGGGCUUGGAAUUCAAAAUUUACAAGCUACUUGGUGACAAUGGGGUUUACUGCAUCAGUAUCUGAUACCAGUUUGUUUAUUAAAACUGAUAACAAUGAUAUCAUCAUACUAUUGCUCUAUGUUGAUGAUAUAAUAUUGACUGGAUCAUGUGUGACUAAAGUACAACUCGUAGUUCAAGAACUCUCCUCUGUGUUUGACUUGAAGGAUUUGGGGAAGCUGACAUAUUUCCUUGGUUUACAGAUUCAAUAUAAACCAAAUGGAGAUAUUUUUGUAAAUCAGUCCAAAUACAUAAAGGAUUUACUUCAUAAGGCAGGUAUGGAUUCUUGCAAGCCUGCUAAUACACCAUGUAAACCACACAAUCAAAUGAUAAUGACAGAAGGAGAGUUACUUUCAGAUCCGAGUUCAUACAGAAGCAUUGUUGGUUCCUUGCAGUAUCUUACGUUUACUAGACCGGAUAUUGCGUUUGCUGUGAAUACAGUUUGUCAACACAUGCAUUCACCAACUGAAGUUCAUUUUGGUGCUGUAAAACGGAUUCUUCGAUACCUUCAUGGUACAAUGCAACAUGGCAUAGUCUAUUCUUCACAGUCACAGAUGAAUCUCACGGCUUUUUCUGAUUCUGAUUGGGCUGCAGAUCUUAAUACCAGAAGAUCAGUAACUGGAUAUAUUGUUUUUCUUGGAGACAAUCCUAUUUCGUGGCAAUCAAAGAAACAAACUUCAGUAUCCAGAAGUUCUACAGAAGCUGAAUACAAAGCCCUUGCUCAUACAGCUGCUGAUCUAGCUUGGGUUAGACACAUUUUGAGAGAUUUGAAGUGUGUUUUACUUCAACCACCUGUUAUUAAUUGUGAUAACAUGUCAGCUAUUGCAUUAAGUUCGAAUCCAGUGUUCCACUCCAGAAUCAAACACUUGGAUACCGAUUAUCAUUUUGUAAGGGAGAGGGUACAACAAGGCGAUCUUGCUGUGGCAUAUGUUCCUACUGAUGAGCAAACUGCCGAUGUUCUAACAAAGGGUCUUCACAGUCCUGCAUUUAUCAGACAUUGCUACAAUCUGAAGCUUGGGACCCCAAGCUUAGAUUGAGGGGGGAUGUUGACAGUAGCAACAGCUGGCAAUGCCACAUCAGCUUAACUAAUAGACUAUUGGUGGUUAUGUUGGUUAGAAAUGUUAUAACUAACUGAUAUAGUUACUGAAGUUACUGAUGUAAAUCUUGCAAUCUAUAUAAGAUGAGAUAGCAUUACUGUAAUCUUUAAUUCAGAUCAAUACAAAAGUUUCUUUCUCUAAAACAUUCAUUCUCUCUCUAGAACUCUUCUUUCUUCUCCUUUUCUUGUUCGAGUAUUCAUUGUAGAUUAGGAUUUCUGUAUACGUUAACACCAUACAUACAUACAUAAUCAACAUCAGUGUGGAUGUAGCCCAAACAUUGGGCUGAACCACAAUAUAUCUUUGUGUUCUUGUGCGUUUAUGUGAUUCAUGGUCAGAUUUACGUUGGUCCAAGAUCCUCCAGAUUUUUUGCAUCAACACUUAAAAACUAGAACUUGCUCGUUAACAAACAUAAAACAGUUAAAUAUCAAAGUGCGCAAUAAACAAGACUACAAAAUCAUAAGAAUAUGGAUAAUGCUAGGGAAACCAAAUUUUUUAAACCACAUUUGCAAACCAAAUGAUGUGAUUGUUGAUUAUUGGAUUAUUACUUAAGCGUUGAUUAAUGUGCUUAUUUCAUAUUAGGCUUGGGCCGAAAUAGGAUUAAGCUUAGGAUCUUCAAGUCAUUGGGAGGCACCAGGAAACGAACAUGUGGUCCUGUUGACCUUAAAAACUACCGAGCCUACGUGGCACGCAGGUCGAAUAAUCUAUGAGCUAACUACGUCAUUCGGUUGUGUGCGGGGUGUGCCAACUGGUCGGCCGAGCUUGGCUGAGGAGUAAAAUAUAUUGAUGUUGCGUUAGGUGCGCGACUGACUUCUGCGUCUUGCGAUUGCGACCGAGGAAGGAACUUGUCUCUGCUUUCGGGUUCUAGAGCUUGAAGACAAGGCUGCUAACUUAGCGAAGUUCAAUAUUAAAUUCGACUUCCAAUGUGCCAAAUGUAGUAACUUGUAACACCUCACUUCACCGAGAAGGCUCAUGAGAUGACCUCGACCAACAAGGAUUCGGAAAUCCUUCUCGACCGAGACUAGGAUAGGUAACCAGUUGGCCUCGACGCAGUGCUGUUUAUGCCAACUGAAGAUGCUGCGAGAUUGGCUGAUUCUACGAUGCCAAUGCUGUUUAUGCCAACUGAAGAUGUGUUGGCGAAAAAGAAAAGAAAAAAUCUCAAGGUUAUUGAGAGAAUUUGCACAGGGCAGUUGUGUGUUGAAUUGGAUGGGGUUUUUGAAUGGUGCACCCCCUCUGUAUUUAUAAGGACAUACGCGUGUUGGUUGGUAAGCUGAUAUAGGCUUUUGCCAUGUACUAGAACUCUUCCACCAAUUGCAUCAGAUAAGCCUUAUAUUCCCAAGACUCUCAACUCAGUCAAAAAUGCAACCAAAUUCAAUCUUUAUGCUCAACCUUAUCACAUCAAAUCCCAAGAUAUCCUGCACGUUUGGAUUGGUUCAAAUAAUGCUCUCAUCAAAAUAACCACCAUUAUAUAUAUAUAUAUAUAUAUAGUCUGGGAGAUUUUUGCACGGCAUAGGCUGAUGGGCAUGCAGACUAUACAACCUACAUAUAUAUAACUUGUAGCUUUUCACACAACAUGUAAGUCUUCCAUCAUCUGACAACAUCCUAGCCCACUUAGGCCUCGUUUGGCACGCUGUAUAAAGGACCGGAUAGUAUUAGUAGUACGGUAUCAGCCGUUUGGUGUUCCAACGUACUAAUUAAGCACCGGAUAAACAAAACCGGUCCCACCACUUUAAUCCCCCUCACACCCGCUAAUUUAUACACUCCAAUACCUCCGUAUAAUUUAGUCGGGUCUUUCUUUCUCCAACCUCUCUGUUCCUGCGCAUCACCAAAUCCUCAUCCAAGUUUCCUUCUCUCCCUUUCUCCAUCCCCACCUCCGAUCAACAUCAAGCACAUAUAAACAGAAAAUCAGAGGUGGUGUAUUAAACCCAGGCCAUGGCGUCCCUAUUCAGACAUCCAUGAUGGCAGAUCGAACUAGAAUCGGAGAGAUGCUAUCUGGGUUUUUUGGCCUGAUGGAGGAGGUUGAAUUCCAAAAAAAUCACCUCAUAUCUCUGUGUUUCAGAUUUGAAAUUUAACCGGAAAGAUAGAGCUGUUGAAGGUGAUUAUGGUGGUGACGAAUCAAUGCGCCGCGAUGAGCAAUUUAUUUUUUCAAAUUAGGUUGUGCUCUAAUUUGAUACUUUUUCAUUUGAUUCUUAUCGUGAAGAUGAGAUUUGAAAAGCAUGUGGAUUAGGUUUUGCUCUAAUUUGGGGCUUUUUCAUUUGCUUCUUAUCGUGAAGAUAGGAUUUAAAAUCAUGGAUUUCUAGAUAAUUACAUUGAAUUUAUAUAAUUAGGUUUCUAAUAUAUAAUCUGUAUCUAUAAAAUUGGAUAGAAGGAUCAAUUUCAUCUUUAUACUCAUCAAUUGCCAUCCUUACUUAUAAUCAGUGGUUUUUUUUUUUUUUUUUAAUCCGGCUCAGUACCAACAGAGUAUAAAUAAUACAGUCAUUAGUCCGAUAUUCACCAAACGCCCGACUAAUUUAGUCAGUACUAUCCGGUGACUAUUUAUCCUAUCCGACUGAAAUAGUCAGUACAGUCCGAGCUGCCAAACGAGGCCUUAGGUCUCCUAUCCAACGUUAUCUUCGGCUUGCAGAUCCAUGUUAGGCCAAGUGAAGAGUCCAAGAAUCUCUAUAAUUUAUUUUGUACAAGAAAACUAAGAUAAUUUAUUAAAAGAUAAUUAUUAUGAUUAAAAACCAUAAUAUUAUCUCUUAACAAUAGCAAAUUAUCUUAACUUUCUUAUUCGACGAUUAAGAACCAUGUUUACUCAACGGCCUCGAUUGCUUGGGCCGAUGGCGUAAAAUCGUGUCCAAACAUUGCCCCCUAGUUUCCUUGAGCUUCGACUCAUAAACCGAAUGGUUAAGGAAAUUAACUAUUCGUAGCCGACAACAUUUCGUCGUAUUUUCGAAACAAAUUUUGUUCCUCGUUUGUCUCGGCAAUAACAUGUAUGUAAUGUCGUGAUAUCCUUAUGCUAAUUCACCGUUUGUCUCUGCCAUGCAUAUGCAUGCAUUCUACUUUAACAUCUGAUGGGUUCAGGUCGAGAGUACAAUAAGGUCGAGAAGAACUGGGCCCAUGAUUGAUAAAACCCGUUCCUGAAGCUCGGCCUGCCUAUAAAUACAAAUCUAUAAAAGUAGCAUGAUUGUCUGAUGUGACCUGCCAGCCAUGCAGUUUCCAUAUAUAUAAACGGGAUCCUGGCCGAGCACACACAUUUAUAAAAUGAACCUGUGCCGAGCACCAGUCCACCGAGCUCGGCAUGUGUGAUCCCACCCUUUUCUUCUCGGUAGUGGCAUCUUGAUGUAAGCCAUAAACCCAAAUCCUGACAUGAUGUCGUCUGCCAUGCUGCCAUGCACAUCUCCAUCACGUCUUUCAUUCCAUUUUUUAUACUCGACCAACUAAUAUAUAUAUAUAUAUAUAUUUGAAUUGCCUUCCUCGGCCAACUAAUUUUCAUUUUCCUCGGCCAAUUGAUAUAUACAUAUUUGGAUUGCCGCACUGUUGUCGCCCCUUUAAUUUCUUAUGCAUCAACUUAAUUAGCCAGAUGAUUAAGAAAAUAAUUUAUCUUUUUUCGUAAUAAAAGAAAACGAAAGUGGACCGAACUAAUAAAGAGGAUGAGGCCAACGGUGUUUUAUCCCAAGCUGAUAUCUGUUUAUAUCAAAAAUUUCAAAUUGAUUUCGCUCUAGGCCAAAUAAAGAAUUUUUUCCAAAUAUUUUUGACUUGGUGAAAUAUUUUUCAUUUUCGGUCGCCGAAUGUUUUGAACAAUUAUUAUGCCCCCUAGGCAUAAUUACUUCACCAAUUUCGGCUUUCAACUCGAACAACUUAGUCAAACGGGAUUUCUCCUUAUCGACUUUAUCACCAAUAAUCAUAUCGAUUGGCGUGGUUUUUUCGGCUAGGCCUACGUCUCGACCUUGUUCGUCAUUAAAGCACUUCUCUGACGAAUCAUUUUCUGGGUUAACUUUUGGCUCAAAAACUUGAACUCUUGCUUCUAGGCCUACCACACUUUCAGUCUCGAUCGAGACAACAGGUGGCCUAGGUUUUUCUUCGGCCAUCUUGACAAUCUUCUUAGGCCGAAUGUUGGUUGUGGCCAGAGCGAAAAAUUGCCCCUCGAUUUUUUCAACCAACCAUUCAUCAAAUGGAAUUUAUUUGUAGUCGAAAACGUAAGGAAAAUGUUCUCUAUCCAGCCAGGCAUUAAAUCGAGCCCUGUCUUCAUUUACCUAUUGCUCUUGGAGGGUAAUAGGAGCUUUUAUUCUCAAGAUACGAGCGAAUGACAUUUGCAUCUCUUUAUGGCCACAAAGAACUUUUCCCAAUUCCAAAGAUCUUUUCAUUUCCUCAUUGUGUUUUUUCAAUUGUUCUAGGAGCUCGUGCAAUCGGUUAAAUGGAGCCGAAUCGACAUCUUGAUCUAUCAUGUGAACUUCGUAGUUUUAGCAUUGGGUCCCACUGGGCGUGCCAAAAUGUUGAUCCUAAAAACUAUCAAGCCUACAUGGCACGCAGGCCGAGUAAUCUAUAAGCUAACUACGUCAUUCGGUUAUGUGCGGGGCAUACCAACUCGUUGGCCGAGAAGUAAAAUAUGUUGAUGUUGCAUUGGAUACGCGGCUGACUUUUGCAUCUUACGAUUGCGGCCGAGGAAGGAACUUGUCUCGGCCUUCGGGUUCUAGAGCCUGAAGACAAGGCUGCUAACUUAGCGAAGUUCAAUAUCAAAUUCAACUUCCAAUGUGCCGAAUGUAGUAACUCGUAACACCUCACUUCGACGAGAAGGCUGAUGAGAUGACCUCGACCAACAAGGAUUCGAAAAUCCUUCUCGACCGAGACUUGGAUAGGUAACCAGUCGGCCUCAAUGCAGUGCUGUUUAUGCCAACUGAAGAUACUGCGAGAUCGGCUGAUUCUACGGCGACAGUGCUGUUUAUGCUAACGGAAGAUAUCACUGGUUGCCUCCACAGUGCUGUUUAUGCCAAUUGAAGAUGUGUCGGCGAAAAAGAAAAGAAAAAAUCUCAAGGUUGUUGAGAGAAUUUGUGCAGGGCAGUUGUGUGUUGAAUUGGAGGUGGCUUUUGAAUGGUGCACCCCUUCUGUAUUUAUAGGGACAUACGCGCGUUGGUUGAUAAGCUGAUAUAGGCUUUUGCCAUGUACUAGAACUCUUCCACCAAUUGCGUCAGAUAAGCCUUAUAUUCCUAAGACUUUCAACUCAGUAAAAAUGCAACCAAAUUCAAUCUUUGUGCUCAGCCUUAUCACAUCAAAUCCCAAGAUAUCCUGCACACUUGGAUUGGUUCAAAUAAUGCUCUCAUCAAAAUAACCACCAUUAUAUAUAUAGUCUGAGAGAUUUUUGCACGGCAUAGGUUGAUGGGCAUGCAGACUAUACAGCCUACAUAUAUAUAACUUGUAGCUUUUCACACUGCAUGAAAGUCUUCCAUCAUCUGACAACAUCCUAGCCUGCUUAGGUCUCCUAUCUAAUAUUAUCUUUGGCUUGCAGAUCCAUGUUAGGCCAAGUGAAGAGUCCAAGAAUCUCUAUAAUUUAUUUUGUACAAGAAAACUAAGAUAAUUUAUUAAAAGAUAAUUAUUAUGAUUAAAAACCAUAAUAUUAUCUCUUAACAAUAGCAAAUUAUCUUAACUUUCUUAUCUGACGAUUAAAAAUCAUGUUUACUCAACGGCCUUAAUUGCUUGGGCCGAUGGCGUAAAAUAGAGUCCAAACAGGUCCAUGGAAGGAUCUUCGAACGAGUAUGCCAUUCCACAUGUAAUGGUGUGCUACCUUCAUUUGGAGCUUUCUCGACUUCGGCUUAUCUUCUGGGAGUGCUCCAUUGACUAGGUAGUCACUGAUAAGAUCUCUUUUCAACUUAGGAUUAUGUUGAUUUGUGCCACCUCUACUACUGGUUUCGUGUUUGUGCUCGGCUUCUCCAGGCACUCGAUUGGAAUGAAGUGUCUGAGUUGGUGGUUAAGAGUAUAGCCUAAACCUACUAGUGUGUCUUUGUGGGCAUUCUUUGCUAGUGGAAUCUGCUCAAUGGAAUCAAUCGAAAACGCUGUGAGCUGUUCCCGUACCUUUUUUAGUUAUUGCGCCAUCAUUAGAUGUUUUGUCGUGUGUUCCCAUAAGGCCUGAUUUAUGAUCAGCUAAGAAUUUGAUGGAUUGCUAGCUUCUUCACCGCUCAGUCUUUUGCUAGUUGAAGGUUGCUAGUAAUGCCUCUUAUUAUGCUUCGUCGUUGGAUGCUUUGAAGCUUAGAAUGUCGUGGGCCUGAUCGACGCGUCUUGGAGCCACGAAGCCUGAGUUAGCAUUUCGGGGAGCCACCUUGGGGGAUCGGUAGGGUUGAGAUCCAUAGUGCAAGAUCGAUGUGGCUAGGGGUUGCGAAGAUGUUGUCGACAUAGGUUGGGUUGCAUACAACAGGAGCAAUGGGUCCUCGAUGCUUGACUGCCGGCACUAGGUUGCUCAGGUGAGUUGCGCACAACAGGAAGAAACGUGGCACUAGGUCCGUGGCGUUAGGUUGCUCUCGGAUUGAGUUGCGCGCAAUAGGAGGAGUUGGACCACUAGGUUAUAUAAAUUUUUUGCUCUCAAAUAUCACAAAAUCCACACUUUAAUGAAAUCUUACAAAAUCUUUAUAUAUUUUUUCUGGUAAACGACGUUUUGACCCCUUAAACUAUUACUCUAAAAUUGACCUCUUGAACUAUUUUUUUGGUACAUUAAUCCCCUAAAAUAUUUAAAAUUAGUCAAUUAACCCCUUGCUGUUAGAUUUCAUCCACUAUUCCGUCAAAUUCAAGGACAAAUAGGUAUUUUUAUCAUCAAUCUUUUUUAUCUGCAUAUGCGCUUCUAGUAUCAUUUUCACAACCUUCAUCAUCUGCACCAUAAUUUACUAUUAGAUCAAAUCCAAACAACCAUCAUCUUGCAUAUUUGAGAAAUCAAAAUCAUCAAAAGUCAUACAACAAUCAUCAAUCGUAUUUGAGAAAUCAAAAUCAUCAAAAGUCAUACAACAAUCAUCAUGCGUAUUUGAGAAAUCAAAAUCAAAAUCACACUUGUUUUUCCAUUGCAUAGUUCCACCCAUGUAAAACCCAUCCACAAAGUUAUUAACAGAAAUGCAGAAAAACACAGAAAUGCAGAAAGAGCAUGUAUCGAAGAAGAAAAGAGAGAAGGGAAUAAGAGAAAGAGAGAAAGUAAUUGAUUACAUUGAUACUAAAUUCAUCUUUACAACUAUGAGAAUACAGUUUAUAUAGCCAUCAUGACUAGCUUGCAGCUUAAGCUAUUUAACUAACUAAUUCGAUAACAACUCUAACAACCUUUCAACACGUGUAUAUUGCCAACAUCCCCCCUCAAUCUCAACUGGGACUUCCCAGUUUGAGAUUGAAGCAGACCAAUCAAUGGAGCCAAGUAAAAGUAACCCAAUUUCCCAUGUUUAGGUAUGCUAAUCUUCCAAAAGCUGAAAGCAGUAUUCAAAGUACUUUUGUCAGACAUCAGCAACUUCUCUGCUUCAAAUGAGUAUCUUCCCUGCUUCAAAUGUUAUCAACCUUGAAUUACUAAUCAAUAUUUCAACAAGAACUGCACUCCGGCAAUCAGCCUUAAUGGAGGUGCACACAAUAACAACAAAACAAGACAUUUCAAGAACUUUACUCUGGCUAUCAGCUUUUAAGGAGUAACACACAAAAUCUGAGACAGAACUUUUCACUCCGGCUAUCGGCCUUGUGGAGGAAACAAACAACUUACACAGAGAUAAUGGCUUUGGCCUUAUAUGCCAAAUCUAACCACUCAAGCAAUCUUCAAAAAUUACAACAAUUCCAAGAAUACACACUAUGGGCUAUCGGCCUUAUUCGUGUGAAAAAACUCAACAAAUACUCAAACAAAAAGCAACGGCUAUCGGCCUUUAUGCUUUGACAGAAAUACUUCACCAAUCAUCCAAUCACGAAACCAACUUUCAGAUAGCUUUAUACUCCGGCAAUCGGCCUUAAGGGAGUACAACAUACAAUCACAGAGAAAUGGCUAUUGGCCUAAAAAAUUGUCACACACUCCAACCACAAUGAAGAAAUUGAGAAUACGGCUACCGACCUUGAAAAAGUAAGUACGCGGCUAUCGGCCUUGAUACUUACAAGAUGCAUAGAAAAAUCUUCACUCAGACAUUAACACAAACAGUUCACAUGCUAAAUUGAGGAGUACUCGAAACAGCACCUGAUGACUCGAAUCUCGAUCUCCCAAAAGCCAAAAGCUCAUCAAUCCACCAGAAUUUGAAACAUUGCUUGAAAACAUACAUGGUUUAAAGGCAGGCAAUUCUGUUCAGAUUCCAGUAUAUGAUUUCAAGACUAGCUCCCGCAUAGCACACAUGAGGGUAGAGGUCCCUAGCUCCUGUAUUGUGAUCAUUGAGGGCAUAUAUGCUUUAAGUGAGAAAUUUCAGCCUUUGCUAGAUCUUUUUCGUAUCUAUAACUGGUGGAGAUGAAGAAACUUCGAUCAGAGCUCCCCAAGAAAUCUCCAGUUCUUUUAAUCUUCAGCGGAAGAAAUGGCACCGAGGAAUAAAACCCCCUUCGGCAAUCGGCCUUUGCUCUGUUGAAAUACCAUCAUUCGCGCACCAAGAACAGAAAAUCACCCAAAUUGAGCAGAGCAACGACAAAUCAUGUAGCGGAAGAGCAACAAAUCACCAUGGACCCACCUCCGACGAUGAUACCAUAUUAACAGAAAUGCAGAAAGAGCAUGUAUCGAAGAAGAAAAGAGAGAAGGGAAUAAGAGAAAGAGAGAAAGUAAUUGAUUACAUUGAUACUGAAUUCAUCUAUACAACUAUGAGAAUACAGUUUAUAUAGCCAUCAUGACUAGCUUGCAGCCUAAGCUAUUUAACUAACAAAUUCGAUAACAACUCUAACAACCUUUCGGCACUUGGAUAUUGCCAACAAAAGUAACCCCAUGGUGAAUCAAAUCCUUUGUACGAAUCCAAUCCUUCACUUCGCCCAAAAUCUUGCCAAAAAAAUAAAAAAUAAAAAAUAAACUCCGAAGCUGUUAGGGGUUGAAUAUUUCAAAAAUAUAUAAUAUAUGUGUGUGUGUGGUUGAAUAUUUCAAAAAUAUAUAACAUAUAUAUGUGUGUGUGUGUGCGCGCACGUGUGUUUUGUAUUGGCAGAGAAUAAUUUUCCGUUAUUGCCCAACAAUCAUCUAUCUUCAAAUUAACCACCAGAUCUUUUUCAUGUUUCCCGAAAAAACAUGAUUUAUGGUCAACAAGUGUAUUCCUUCUCCUAGGAAAUAUGACAUUUAGGUAAUUAGUGUUCUCUGUCAGGUAUACCCAUCGAAAUGCUAUGCCUUUUGGAUAGUGCUUUGUAUAUGUUUAAACAUACAUGAUUUUUUUUUUUUUUUUUGUCAAAUGUUUAAACGAACAUGAUCACUUUGAACCAAUAUGACUUCAAAAGUUAUGUACUUUUGAUUAACUUGAACAGAUACAAUUCUCUCUAUAUAUUAAUAACAUUGGAAAAAGAAAAUAUUUAUUCAAAAAUUUGUUGUCUGCUUUUUUUUUCUCUCUCCAUCACAUUGAUACAAUUUCUUUCUAAUUAUUUCUAAGUGAAUAUAAUUUGGUUUUGCUAAUCGUAUAUUUCAUAUUUUGUUGUAUUGAAGAGAUUUGCCAACAACCCUUUAACAAAUUCAUUUGAGUGGGGACAAAUAACACUUUAAGGAAGUGACAUAAGUCAAAACUCAAAAUCAUCUUUAAAUUAUUCUUUAUAUUACUACAUUUACUCUAACAUUAGGAGUCAAUCGUAGAGAGGAAGAAAAGUAAGAGUAAAAGAGAAAGUGCAAGAAAAAGCUAAAUUCAUUUCCUAACCAAAAGGAGAUACACUGGACGCUUAUAUCUCCAUUAUAGCCAAAACAGACAAAAGUACAAUAAAUAUUAGGUAACAACCAUUACAAAUAUCAUAAAGGAUAACAAAGAUAAAGUAGCAAGGUCUAUCGUAGGUCCUAACACAACGAGUCAUGAUAAGGUUCUAACAGAAGCCCUAACUUUGAAUUCCAAAAGUAAAGCAGCACUGGGGUUCCCCCGGCCGGAAGGGGGAAGCAGCAUUGGGGUUCCCCCGCAACGGCCGGGGCCGGGGUGGGGGGGGGAAUUGAAGGAAAUUUUCUGAAAAACAUGUUCAUUUGAGCAACAUCUAUGGCAUGCAAUUAACAUUUAAAGGCGGAAUCAUGCUUGUAUGCACUCAAAACAAAACAUUACCCAUGAAAUUCAAAGCCUAGUAGAAAGGUGAACCAAGACUCAACUCAAGAACAAAGUGAGUUGAGAUAUUUUAUACCUUUGUUGAUUCCUCUUUGCAUAAGCAAAGGCUAAUCACCCAAGGAGAGGGCCUUCAUUCCUUGCUACUUAGUUCCAUCGAUUUCUUGGAGGACGAUGGUAGAAAGGAUUCUCCAAGUUUUCAAAAUUGAGAACCUCUAAUUUUUCCACACUAAGGAAGGACUUGAAGAAGAGAUGAGUGACCUUGGAGGAUCAGAGAUUGCUAGCUAAUCUCCUCCAAGGGGGCCGGCCUCUUAGAGAGAAAAUGAGAGCAUUGUGUUCUCAUCCUUUCCCUAAAAGAAAACCCUAAGGAUGAAAUGGCUAUAAAGUUGCCUUUAUACCACCUCACAAUGGAGUGGCAAACUUGCAAUUAAAGCAAGUUCACUACCCUCCUCUAUUUGGCCGGCCUUAAGGGUUUAUUGGGCUUUCAAGCCCUUUGUUUAUUCAAGUUGUCAUACAAGUUGAGUUAAUGGGCUUGACAUUCAAAUCCCAUUGAGCCUUGCGGCCCAAAACUAACCCGAGAUCUUUAACGAACUUUAUUGUUUGAUUAAUUAACAUAUUAAUUAAUCCUUGCCAUAAAUAAUUAAACCAUUUAAUUAUCCUUACUCAUCUCCGUUGUUUCUUCAAUCUCUACCUUACACGGUGUACGAUCCAUUAGGUUCCUUUUAGCGAGGCAGUGGGCGAUUAGAACUCUUUCAAAUCGAUUGUGAAUUGAAACUUAUUUUCAAUUCUCCCUUUAGUGAUUAUACACGUUUAGGGCUUCCACAAACCAUGAGUGACACCUAGCAGUAUGUCAUGGUUACCCAAGCUAAUCAGAAAAGGUGGAACCUAUUCAGUUUAGGAUUACAAUGCAAUACAGUCUUUCUCUAAUACAAUACUUUUGACCACAUUGUUUGGUUUGACAGUUUAAUCAUGUCUACUAUCCAAUGUGAUUCAUUUACUUAUAUGAUUACCUUGAAUAUGAUUUGGAACGACUUCCUAAAUCUCAUUCAUACUCUGGCCAGAGAUUCUUAAUCAUAUCAUAGAGUAUUCUCCCUCAAACGGUUUGAAGGUUAGAGAUCCCUUGUUGCGCAUUCACUUGCCUCCAUGGCUAAGUGACUUAACCCCAACUAGGUCGUGGACACCCUCUGACAGAGUGACUUUAACAUAGUCAAAGAUCAAGGACCUAACCACAAGACAACUAUGAUGCCUCAGGUCAAAUGACUACUUUGCAUUAUCCUAACCAUGAGUUCUCAUGUGACAUGAGUAUGAGAACUCCUCGUUGAUCGUGUUCAGUGGACUCAUUCUCUAUUGAGCACCUACAUGCUUGUCUUGGUGUCAAUCACACCAAUGACUCGAGACCAGUCACUCUCCAUGAGAGAAGACACAACACGUACUGAUCUUAAUGGAUUGUCAAUGCCCAAUUGGCAAUCCUAUGAUCAGGAACGUUUAGGAUAUGUAUACGAAAGAGAAUGGUCUCAUGAAUCUAACUUCUUUAAAUUACAUUCUCCUAAUUACAUAUUCCUUGGACUUAUCGUUUAAGCAUAUAACAUUUAUAUGAGACGGCUUAAAACAAUAAUCUUUGUCCUUGAUAUUAAACUAGAUUAGUUUAACAUGUGAAAUGUCCGUAAAGUAUCAUCAUAUGAUUGGUUUUAGGGCACAUUUCCAACAAUCUCCCACUUGCACUAGAGCCCAUCAGUUUGGUCAUCAAUGAUGAUACCUCUUCUGUAGUCCUUUCAAAAAUGGCUGAGUAGUAGGCCUAGGCAAUGGAUAUCUAUAUGUUAUCUAUAGAAGCAACCUUGAGAAUAACGACGUCACCAUUAUACAUGAUUCUCAAUCAUGUGGUUCAGUCUCUCAUUUGAGUUCGGAUCUUGAUGAGACCGUGAUUCCUUGGCUUGAGCUAUCGCCCCAUUAGUGUCGUAAUGUCGGUACACUGGAGACACUUUCUGGUUAGAACCGAAUAGAGAGUUCAUAAAUGAACUUUCCCAUCCAAACAACAUUGUUGUAAGCUUUAUAUGGCAAUAUAUUUUGCAUUCAUAAUGGAACACACUAAAGUCAUUACUUUUAAUGUUUCCAUCCAAAUAUCUCUUUAGUCAUAAUAAAGAGAUAUCUGAUUAUCUCUUCAUUCAUAAUGAAGAAACAUCCAAUAAUGGAUUAGAUUCAUAAUCUAAUACAUUUACGCUUCCAUUACGGUACUCUAAUUCUUCCUCAUUCUUGAGGAAUCCAUCCUUUAUUAUUUCUCAAAUACAUAAGGAUUCACUUGAUAGUUGCCAUGGUUCUGAUCCUGGGCUUGCAUUGAUAUCAUCUUGUACCGAUCUUGGUACAACUCAUAUCAACGUUUUCAUACAAUAUGAAAUAUGUAAAUCACAUUUCUGCGUAUGCAUAAAGGAUUCUAUUUACGCAUUAUUUCUUUGGGAGUCAAAGGGUACGUUCCCUUUGAGAAGAGCUACCUCCUAGUCUCACUAGAGUUGUUCUUCUGAUUGAAGUUUAUCAUCAUAUGAGAAACUUCCUAGCAUCUUUUGUCUAUUAUUAGGGAUUGAUAUAAUCCAAUUAUAUCUUGAAAUCUAUCAUUGUAGAUGUCCAUCCCAUGUAUAUAGACUAUGUCUCCCAUAUCCAUUCCAUCUUUAUAGAAUGUUUAAAGUCAUAACUUUAACGAAGAAGUAUUCUUUUCAUUUCCAAAAUUAAUAUAUCAUAUAUGUGUUAAAUUUUAGGAACAUGAUUAACUCCCACUAAUAUUUGUAAACUUAGUAAACAAAAGAUUCAUUUACAUAUUUAUGAGAAAUCAAUUGAUUUGAUCUUUCUCUCAUAAGACGCUUAUAGCUCCCACUAGCUUGCCAAGAUCCAUGAUGGACGGAUCUCUAUAACUUACAUGUCGUGUGAUUCAUAGUUUUAGACAUAUAUUAUCAAGACUAUCUUAAUAAUGGUUUCGGAAACCCAUAUUAUGUCCAAACAUUGAAUCACCAUUUAGUUGUCGCUAGCAAUAUUCGAAUUAAUUGAAACCAAGACUACGUCAAAGAUGGUUUCUUCCAAGUCAACCAUUCUCUUUGAUUGUAGUCACCUUAAGCUAACAAUUAGCUAUGAAGGUUUCAUUAUUUCGGGUCAAAUGGUAUUUUACCAUUUCCUUGAGUAUAUGUCGUAUAUACACUCAAUGUAGUCAUAAGGAUUUUCAUUCUUAUUUCUUUCGAAUUAAGAGGUGUAACUCUAUGACAUAGUCAUAAAGUUCAAACCAUUCAACUUAGACAGUUUAUAAAUCCUUCUCGACUACCUUGGAGCUUGUGGUGUAGGAACUAGGUUGUUAUAUUUGUUGAUUAUCAUCUUGUCUCUCAAAGAACCCAUUCUUUGAGUUCUAUCUCUCGUUCAUUUGCGCUUAAGCAAAUCAUAUUGUAGGAUUACAAUGAACUACCCAACAAAACAACAUUUGUUAGUUGGUUUAUAGAAGUGAUACCCAAAGGUUAAUUUAAGGAUAUCCACAAGAUAAUUCUCAAACAAAUAUUGCUUAUUAGCACACAACCCCAA
rnacentral:lncRNA from 1 species